UGUGAAAAAGUAUAUAAAGCAAUCAACUAGUUUAAAAAAAAAAAACUAUUGUCAAAUACUUUUCUUUGUUUAAGAAUUUUUUUAAUAAAAGAAUAACAAUUUUUAUUUAUACUACUUUACAUAGUUUUAAAAUAUAUAAAUUACGAAAGUUAAAGAAGACAAAAGAAAAAUAAAGGUUAGAAGAAACCCUAUUAUUUAGGCUUUCACAAAUGACCAAACUGAAAAAUCGUUGAUUCCCUCAAAUUCUUACAUAAAUCGUGGUAAAAUACCGUGUUUUACAUAAAAUGCGGUACAAUACUGCGUUUUACCUUAACGGUCCAAACGGCCGUUAAGGUAAAAUAUGGUAUUGUAUCGCGUUUUAUAUAGACAAGUAACUUUUCUUUACACUGUAAAAACGUAUUUUGAGUCCAAAAAAUUAGUAUUUAGGUUUCGAACUAUGAAAUCCAUUUUUUUGAGAAAAUGGAAACAUUAGAUUAAUACUAAACUGGUUCCACCGUAUUACAAUUCAUAGUGAUGUCACUUAGAACAUUCAGAUUACCUAGACUUGCUAGCAUAUUACAUGCACUAUUAGAUAAGUGCUUAACAAAAACAACACCACCAAGUUUAUCUUUUUCCAAUGCAUAGUUAACAAAAGUGGGAGGUCUUGCAAAGCGGGUGAUCUUGUUCAACUUAGAUUGAUGGGAAACUGCCUUUGCUAAUUUGUGCGCGGCUGCAUUUCCUUGACGGAAAGUGUGCCUAAUCGCCAGGAGUUUUAGUUGCAACAUUAACUGUUGGGUUUUAAGCAUUAAUAUGGCUUAAAAGAGGGUGAUGAGAAAUGGAGGAAAAUGAAAUUUUUGAGUGAAAUUUUAAAUUUUUNNNNNNNNNNNNNNNNNNNUUGAUUGAUUAACUUUUUGGACCAAAUUUGUUUGUUAAUAGUAAAUAUUAACAGAAAUGUUAUUAAAUAUCCAUUUUAAUAACAAAAUAUUAAUAUUAAAUUCAAGAAUAUUAAUAUUAAAAUCCAACCGUUUCUAUUUUUCCGUUUUCUAUUUUGGUAACAGAAAAUUGACUACCCUCUUCAAUUUUCCCUCUUUAUUGUUGAGUAAAUAGCCAUUUAUAUUAUGGCAUUUAUGUUGUUGCCGUUUUGCACAAACAAUCAUUCUGAAGAGUUGCACCUCUUUAGAUUUCAGCCCAACAUUGGCUAUAAAUACAAGUCAAUUCUCUUAGAUUUUCGAUAUGAUUUUCUGAGUUUCUCCUCCUUCUGCAUUGUUUUAACUUCAAAGAAAGCAACAAUAAGCGUGAUUUGCUACCGAACUUUGUGUUCACUGAAACACUGGGGUUUGAAGUACCACUACACCGGUGUGUAAAUCGUUCUACCAUGGGAGGAAAUAAUCCAUAACCAUCCAUAACCGUAGGUACUAAGAGAGAAUUAAAUUCCUUAAGAAAACAUUGUGAAUUCAGUGGGCUAGGAUUAAUUUUUGUUUCUUUAUAUUUUCUAUUUAUAUGUUAUUCUGUGUUUUCCAGAAUUAGUUUACAAAUACAAAUUACUAACAAGCUUAAGGAAUUUAAUUUUGUAUUUUGUAUUUGUGUUAUAUUCACUGUUUUGGAGUUUAAAACCUUUGUGGUUUUUACUCCGAUGGAAAUUAAAAUUUAUGUGAUUUUAUUGUGUCAUUUUUUUUACAGAAAUGACUAAUGAUAACGCGAACCAGGCUGUUCCAAUGGUGACUGCCAAUGCAUCAACAAGCCGAACACCGGCGGAGAAACCCGAAAAAAUUUUCGGGUUAGAUUUCAAGCUAUGGCAGCAGAAGAUGUUCUUCUACUUGACUACUUUAAGUCUGUAGAAGUUCAUCAAGGAAGAUGUUCCUGUUCUGCCUGAUGAAGCUCUAGAGAAUGAACGCUUUCUCGUGAUUGAGGCGUGGAAACAUUCUGAUUUUCUGUGCAAGAAUUAUGUUCUUAGCGGACUGGAGGUCGAUAUGUAUAAUGUCUACAAUGGCGUGGAGAUGUCAAAAGAGUUGUGGACUGCUCUUGAAAAGAAAUACAAAACUAAAGAUGCUGGGUUGAAGAAAUUCGUUGGCGCCAUGUUUUUGGACUAGAAAAUGGCAGAUAGCAAGCCUGUUAUUACCCAAGUCCAAGAAUUGCAAGUGAUUAUUCACGAUCUCCUUGUUAAAGGUAUAAAUCAAAUUAAUACUAAUGUUGAAAGUAGUAAUAUUAGUAUUUUUACUAAUAGAAUUUUCAUUGAAGGUCUUGUCAUCAGUGAAGAAUUCUAAGUAGCAGCGAUGAUUGAGAAGUUUCCUCCUUUGUGGAAGGACUUCAAAAACUACUUGAAACACAAACGCAAGGAGAUGUCCCUUGAAUAUCUCAUUAUUCGGUUGAGAAUCAAAGAGGACAACAAAGCUGCUGAAAAGAGAGGCAGUGGAAACUCAACAAUUAUGGGAGCAAACAUUAUUGAGGAUAAUUCUUAAAAUAAGAGAAAGAGGAAGCAUGCUUCUAGACCGAAAAGCAACCCAAGCAAGAAGCGGUUCAAUGGAAAUUACUACAACUGUGGAAAAGCUGGUGUCACGAUCCAAAAUCCUUCCGAAGGAGUCGUGAUGACACCUAGUCUCUAAACUAGGUAAGCCUAACAUUAAUUGAAUUAACUUGCCAUUUACUAAUUUCAAAUUAAACAACUCUGAAUAAAUCACAAUUUUCAAAACCGGUGGUACAAGUCAUAAGCCUUUCUAAGAGUAGUUAUACAAAAUAAAUACAACACUGGUCCAGAACGAGAAGGAAUCAAUGGAACGUAAAUACAAACGAAGGUGACUCCGAGGCCUGCGAACGCAGUAACAGGUUACCAUGAGUCUCCACCGCGACGACCCGCACAGCUACUAUCGAUCAAUACCUGGAUCUGUACACAAAAAUAUACAGAAGUGUAGUAUGAGCACACCACGGCGGUGCCCAGUAAGUAUCAAGACUAACCUCGGUGGGGUAGUGACGAGGAACAAUUAAGAGACCUACUGGUCAAAUAAAAUGAACAAGAUAUGAUAAUAAAAUAUCAAGAUAAUGAUAACGAGGUAAUAUCAACAGCCAGAAAUCAAAAACCAAUAGUAGGGACAAUAAAGGGAGAACAUUGGUAGUAACAAACGAUAACCAAGUAAAUCAACACUGAUAUAACAUGGACACAUACAAGUAAGAAUGUAUUCAAAUAAAGAAGGCAAUGCCAUGUUAAUAAAUCACAUCAUGUCUAACACACAAUCCCGACCAUCUCAAUCCUCCAUUUCUCAUAUCAUAAUCUCAACUUCCGAACCUUCAGCACACAUGGCACCUUGUGUCCACAUAUUUUCCAUCUCACUUUUAACAGCAGAAUCCACAUGCUAUACAAUACAUAUAUCAUUACAAAUGCAUUAAAGAUGUUUAAAAAGUCUCAUUUACAUAAUAUAAAGUAAAUUACAAUUUCUAAACUAAUUAGGAAAAUCAGCGAGAAAAGGUGAAGUUGUUUUUAGAAAUCAUUUGAGUAAAUUUCACGACAAUUUUUCACUCUCGGGAGUCGUGAUGACGCCUACUAGAGAAAGCUAGGCAAGCCGACCAUUUGAACAAAUUACCUUUUUCCCAUUUAAUUCUUUAACAAAUGUGAAUCAACAUUCUAUAAAGAGAGGAAAUUUAAAACAAGCGAAAUAAAAAAUAAACCAUUUAAAUAAUUCUAACAUGAUUUUUCACACAAAAACUACCCAAGGAUGGUGUCACAACUCCACAGACGGUCUAAGAAUUUUACAAACAAGGUCCGAAAAAAUAAAUGCAACACUGUUUCUGAAUUACAUGAGUGAAACAGGAAGAAAAGAUAGAGGGAGACGCCAGGGCCUGCGGACGCCUACAGAACUACUUUGGAACUCCGUAUGGACUAAAGGAAGCCACCCAAGCUAAGGCCCAAAAGCUACUGCUGCUCCGGGAUCUGUACACAGCGCAGAGUGUAGUAUCAGGACAACUGACCCCAUGUGCUGGUAAGUGCCUAGCCUAACCCCGGCAAGUAGUGACGAGGCUAGGAUAAGACUACCAACNNNNNNNNNNNNNNNNNNNNNNNNNCAAAAGAGUCCCAGCAAGGGAGAAAUAAGGAAACAACAAUAUCCCCGCAAAGUAAUCGACAGUAAGAAGUAAAUACGUCCUGGAAAGGGAAUCAGCUAUAACCAAACUUGUUCCAACUUUUAACUUUACAAAGAAACCUCAUCUAGAACCGAUACUCAACCAUAAGCAAUUUCCACGAGAAUAGUCAUAAUUCUUUCCUAACACAGAGAAUCAACAACUUAGGCAUUUGUAGUACUUAUUAAGAACACAACGAUUUCAAUUUAAGACUCACGGGCAUGCUUGACAACGACGUAUAAAUACUCGUCACCAUGCCUAUACGUCGUACUCAACAAAUAACACAUAACAAAUAGGACUCGACUCCUAAUCCCUCAAGUUAAGGUUAGACCAAACACUUACCUCAAACUUCCACGACCAACUCAAGCCUCAAACACCGCUUUUCCUUUAAAAUUCACCUCCAAAUAACUCGUAUCUAGUCCAAAUUGAUUUAACAUCAAUAAAUGCUAAAGAAUUCAUACCCAACACUUAAUUAUAGGUUUUCUAUCAUUUUUCCCAAAAAGUCAAAAAUUGACCCCAUGCUCGCUUGGUCAAAACUCGAGGUUUGGACCAAAACCCGAUCAUUCAUUCGUCCACGAGCCCGAAUAUAAAAUUAGUUUCGCAAUCCGACCCCAAAACGAGGUCUAAAUCCCAAUUAAUCAAAAAGCCCUAACUCUACCCAAAUUUCCUAAUUUCUACCAUAAAAACCUAGAUUUUAGGAUGAAAAUUGAUGAAAUGCAUUGGGAAAUCGAAAGAAAAAGGUUUAGAAUCAUAUACCAAUAUUUUUGGGGAAGAAAUUGUUCUUUGAAAAUUGCCUGAAUGCUUAUAAAUUUUUAAAAUAUGAAGUAAAUGGGUUAUGCUCGGUUUGGUUCCGUUUUAAAAAUAACUGGGCAGGCUUUCAUCGUGUUCGCGAUAGGCCUAUCGCGUUUGCGAUAGGCCUGCCGUGUUCGCAAUGGGUUAGGCCCAGAUGGCCAUCACAUGCGCGUUCAAGGGCUCACAUUUGUGGUGCUUCAGCUCCUCGAUCCUUCGCGUUCGGGGUCAGGUGGCCGCGUUCGCGUAGAGUAAAAUCCCUCCCCCUACCCAGGCCUAAAGGCCUUCGCGUUCGCGAUAUCAGGUCCGCAUUUGCGAAAGGAAAAUUCCUUCAGCCUGACUUACCCUUCGCGUUCGCGAGAGUCCUUCCGCGAACGCGAAGAACAAAACUCCAAAACACCAGAAACUGAAAACCUGCAACUUUUUCUAAUUUUAAAACCUUCCGAAACCUAUCCGAAACUCACCCGAGCCCUCGGGGCUCCAAACCAAAAUGCAUACUAACUCAAAAACAUCAUAUGAACUUAUCCGUGUGUUCAAAUCACCAAAAUAACAUCUUAAACAACGAAUUUAGCAUAGAAAUCUAAGAAAAUCUUCAAAACUUUCAAAGUAUCAAUUUUCACAACCACGGAUCCGAAUCACCUCAAACGACUUCCGUUUCUUACCAAAUUUUACAGGCUCGACUUAAAUCACAUAUAAGACCUGUACCGAGCUUUGGAACCAAAAUACGGGCCCGAUACCAUCAACUUCCAAACAUUUUUCAUUUCUAAAAACUCAUAUAUAUUCCAAAAAAUAAUUUUCCUUAAAAAAAUUCAUUUCUCGGCUUGGGACCUCGGAAUUCGAUUUUGGGCAUACGCCCAAGUCCCAUAGUUUCCUACAGACCCUCCGGGACCGUCAAAUCACGAGUCCGGGUUCGUUUACCCAAAAUAUUGACCGAAGUCAACUUAAAUUCAUUUUAAAGGCAAAUUUUAUCCUUUUUCACAGAUUUUCACAUAAUGGCUUUCCGGCUAUGCGCCCGGACCGCACACGCAAAUCGAGGUGAUGUAGAGAGAGGUUUUUUAAGUCCUCAAAACACAGAAUUUAUUUCUAAAAUAACUGAUGACCUUUUGGGUCAUCAUAUUCUCCACCUUUAAAACAACCGUUCAUCCUCGAACGAACAUAAGAAGGAAGUACCUGAGUCGAGGAAAAGAUGGGGAUAACGUCUAUGCAUAUCGGACUCGGACUCCAAGGUUAAUGCCUCAGCAGGCUGACCUCUCCACUGAACACGAACAAAAGGGAAACUCUUCGAUCUCAACUAACGAACCUGCCAGUCUAGGAUAGCUACCAGCUCCUCCUCAUAUGACAAGUCCUUGUCCAACUGGAAAGUGCUGAAGUCUAAUAUGUGGAAUGGAUCGCCGUGAUACUUCCGAAGUAUGGACACAUGAAACACUGGAUGCACGACUGAUAAACUUGGCGGCAACGUAUGUCUAUAAGCCACCUCUCCCACUCGAUCAAGAAUCUCAAAUGGGCCAAUAAACCUAGGGCUAAGCUUGCCCUUAUUUCCAAAUCUCAUCAAGCCGUUCAUAGGCGAUACCUUAAGCAAUACCCGCUCACCGACCAUGAAUGCCAAAUCACGAAUCUUACGGUCGGCAUAACUCUUUUUCCUGGAUUGAGCUGUACGAAGCCUAUCCUGAAUAAUCCUGACCUUGUCCAAGGCAUGCUGUACUAGAUCCGUACCCAACAACCGAGCCUCUCCUGGCUCAAACCAUCCAACCGAUGACCAACACUGCCUACCAUACAAAGCCUUAUAAGGAGCCAUUUGGAUACUCAACUGGUAGUUGUUGUUGUAGGCAAACUCUGCUAAAGGCAAAAACUGAUCCCACAAGCCUCCAAAGUCAAUGACUCAAGCUCGUAGCAUAUCCUCCAAAAUCUAAAUAGUCCGCUCGGACUGCCCGUCUGUCUGAGGAUGAAACACUGUGCUCAACCCAACCCAUGUACCCAACUCUCGUUGAACUACUCUCUAGAAAUGUGAGGUAAACUGCGUACCUCGAUCCGAAAUGAUAGACACGGGCACACCAUGAAGAUGAACAAUCUCCCAGAUAUAGAUCUCAGCUAACCUCUUGGAAGAAUAGGAAACUGCCAUAAGAAUUAAAUGUGUUGACUUGGUCAGCCUAUCAAUAGUAACCCACACUGCAUCGAACUUCCGCUGACUCCAUGGGAGUCCAAUAACGAAGUCCAUAGUGAUACACUCCCACUUCCACUCAGGAAUCUCAAUCUUCUGGAACAAACCACCGGACCUCUAAUGCUCGUACUUAACCUGCUGACAAUUCAAACAUCGAGCCACAUGUGCAACAAUGUCCUUCUUCAUUCUCCUUCACCAAUAAUGCAGCCGCAAAUCCUGAUACAUCUUAGCUGCGCCUGGAUGAAUAGAGUACCGGGAACUAUGGGCCUCCUCUAAAAUCAACUCUCGGAGUCCAUCCACAUUAGGCACAUAAACUCGACCCUGCAAUCUCAAAACUCCAUCAUCUCCUAAGGUAACCUGCUUGGCACCUCCGUGCUACACCGUGUCUCUAAGGACACACAAAUGAGGAUCAUCAUACUACCAAUCUCGGAUAUGCUACAAUAAAGAAGAACGAGCGACUGUGGAAGCUAACACAUGGCUGGGCUUAGAAACAUCCACUCACAAACUGAUUGGCCAAAGUCUGAACAUCCAAAGCAAGCGGUCUCUCACCGACCGGAAUAUAAGCAAAACUGCCCAUACUGACUGACUUCCUACUCAAAACAUCGGCCACCACAUUGGCCUUUCCUGGAUGAUAUAAUUAUCAUAGUCUUUCAACAGCUCUAACCACCUCCUGUGCCUCAAAUUUAGCUCCUUCUGCUUGAACAAGAACUGCAGACUCUUGUGAUCCGUGAACACCUCACAUGCCACGACAUAUAGAUAAUGCCUCUAAAUCAUCAACGCGUGAACAAUGGCUGCUAACUCCAAAUCAUAGACUGGAUAGUUCUUCUCAUGAAUCUUCAACUGCCGUGAAGCAUAGGCAAUGACCUUGCCAUCCUGCAUCAAUACCGCACCGAGCCCAAUACGAGAUGCAUCAUAAUAAACUGUAUAUGGCCCUGAACCUGUGGGCAAAACCAACAUUGGUGUCGUAGUCAAAGCUGUCUUGAGCUUUUGAAAGCUCUCCUUACACUCGUCUGACCACUUGAACUGGGCACCCUUUUGGGUCAACCUAGUCAUCGGGGCUGCAAUAGACGAAAACCCCUCCACAAACCGGCGAUAGUAGCCAGCCAAACCCAAGAAACCUAGUUCUUGAAUGCCUCUACCUUUUUCGGAUCAACCUGAAUACCCUCUGCUGAUACAACAUGAACCAGGAAUGCAAUUGAACUCAACUAGAACUCACACUUCAAAAACUUGGCAUAUAACUAACUGUCCCUCAAAGUCUGAAGAACCACUCUAAGAUGCUGCUCGUGCUCCUCCCGGCUGCGGGAAUAGAUCAAAAUAUCAUCAAUGAAGACUAUUACGAAUGAAUCCAAGUAAGGCCUGAAUACUCGAUUCAUCAAAUCCAUAAAAGCUACUGGGGCAUUUUUCAACCCGAAUGACAUCACCAAGAACUCAUAAUUUCCGUACUGAGUGCGGAAAGCUGUCUUAGGGACAUUGGAUGCCCUAAUCCUCAACUAAUGGUAGCCAGAUCUCAAGUCAAUCUUUGAAAAUACCUUGGCACCCUAAAGCUGAUCAAACAAAUUAUCAAUUCUCGGCAAUGGAUACUUAUUCUUGAUUGUAACCUUGUUCAACUACCGGUAAUCUAUACACAUUCACAUCGAUCCGUCCUUCUUCUUAAAAAACAACACUGGUGCACCCCAAGGUAAGACACUAGGUCUAAUGAAACCUUAUUCAAGCAAGUCUUGCAACUGCUCUUUCAACUCAGGCGGGGCCAUAUGAUACAACAGAAUAGAAAUGAGCUGAGUUCUUAGAGCCAAAUCAAUGCAGAAGUCAAUAUCCCUGUCGGGUGGCAUACCCGGCAAGUCAGAAGGAAAUACCUCAGGAAACUUACGAACAACAUGCAAAGAAUCAAUAGAAGGAACCUCGGCACUAGAAUCACGAACAUAUGCCAAAUAGGCCAGACACCCCUUCUCGACCAUACGCCGAGCCUUCAUAUUAACACUACGGGUAAAAUGACCAGGAGUACCUCUCCACUCUAAACGAGGUAAACCCAGCAAGGCUAAUGUCACAGUCUUGGCAUGAUAGUCCAAGAUAAAAUGGUAAGGUGAUAACCAGUCCAUCCCCAAUAUGACAUCAAAAUCAACCAUGUCCAGAAGUAACAAAUCUACACGAGUCUCAAGGCCCCCAAUCACAACUAUACAAGAACAAUGGACUUGAUCUACCAUAAUAUAAUCACCUACCUGUGUAGACACAUAUACAUGAGCACUCAAAGAAUCACUAGGCAUGAUCAAAUACGGUGCAAAAUAAGACGACAUAUAGGAGUAUGUAGACCCUAGAUCAAAUAGAACUGAAGCAUCUCUACUACAAACCAAAACAGUACCUGCGAUAACUACAUCGGAAGCCUCGGCCUCAGGCCUUCCUGGAAGAGUAUAACAUCGGGGCUGAGCCCCUCCACCUUGAACUACAUUUCUAGGACAGCCUGCUGCUGGCUGGCCUCCACCUCUAGCUGUCUGACCUCCACCUAUAAUACCUCUACCUCCACCUCUAGCACCUCUACCCCCACCCCUAGCUGGCGGAGCAGGCGGUUGUGAUGACUCGGCCGAUCGUCUUAAGAAUUAAUGCCCCGAUACCCUAUUAACUACUUUCCCAAGUUUAUUUCUGCUAUUUUAAUUUGUCGGGAUGUUCGGUUUUGAGUUUCGGAGAGUUUUGGGACACUUAGUCCCUAAAUGAGAGCUUAAGUUUUGGAAAGUUGACCGUAGUUGAAACAGUGUGAAGAUGGACUCGAAACGAAAAUCUGAUGGUUCCGUUAGCUCCGUUGGAAGAUUUCAGGCUUAGGGGCAUGUUCGGAUUGUGUUUUGGAGGUCUGUAGCUAAUUUAGGCUUGAAAUGCCGAAAGGUUGAAUUUUGAAGUUUCCGGUUCGAUAGUGAGAUUUUGAUCUAAGGGUCAGAAUGGAAUUCCAGAAGUUGGAGUAGCUCUGUUGUGUUGAAUGUGACAUGUGUGCAAAAUUUCAGGUCAUUCGAACGAGGUUUGAUAGAAUUUUUGAUUGAAAUCGUAUUUUUAUAGUUUUUGGAAUUCUUAUACUUGAAUCCAAUGAAAAAUAGGUGUUUGAUGUUGUUUUGAGCGUUCCAAAGGUUGGAACAAGUUUAAAUGAUAUUUUAGGAUUGGUUGGCAUGCUUGGUUGAGGUCCCUAGAGGCCUCGGGGUGAUUUCGGAUGGUUAACAGAAAGAUUUUUGGAUUUUAAAGUUUGCAGCUUCAGCUGUUAUCUGUCAUAAUCGCACCUGCAGUUUGGGACCCGUAGGUGCGGUGUCGCAAAAGCGGCUCAGAGGUCGCAGAAGUGGAAAUGAGGAAGGGGGCCUGGAACCGCAAUUGCAUGACCGCAGAUGCAAAAUUUGAGGUUGCAGGUGCGAGAUUGGGUUUUUAACUGAGAACCGCAGAAGCGGUAUCGCAGAUGCGAUUAUGUGACUGCAGAUGCGGAAACAGCUAUGCAGAAAUAUGAAAUUUCAAGGGUUUAGUUUCAAAAGUUUAAAAUUCGAUUUGGAACUCGAGAGAGGGCGAUUUUAAGAGGAAAUUGAAGAGGAGAUCAUUGGGUAACGAUUCUUUAACCCUUUCUAGUUAUAUUCUAUCAAUCUAUAGUUAGUUUCAUCUUUUAAAUACGGAUUGGAGAUGAAAAUGGGAGAAAAGUUGGAAGAAAGUUCUUAGACCUAGAAUUUAAUUAUUGGUUGGGAAUUUGACCUUAGAUUUGGAUAAUUUUGGUAUGCAUGAACUCGUAAGAGUAUGAGGAUUAUGAAAACAUAAAUUUUACCCGAUUCCGAGACAUGGGGCCGAGGGGCAUUUUGGAUAUUUUACCUAUUUUCGCUUAUUAACUUAGAAUUUCUUUGUAGAAUCAGUUACUUGAAGUAUUAUUUACAUUAUGCAAUUGAGUUGAAUAGAUUUGGGUCAUUUAGAGUCGAGUACUCGUGGCAAGAGCGUGGUUUCAAAUUAAUUUUUGAGCCGGUUCGAGGUAAGUGGCUUGUCUAACCAUGUGUGGGGGACCUUCCCCUUAUGAUUGGUAUAUUUGGUAAUUGAAAUGCCUUGUACUUGAGGCAACGAGUGCGUACUUGUGCUAAUUGUUGGAAAUCCGAUUUUCUUUAAGUAAUUACUACUCCCUCCGCUCCAAUUUUUGUGAACCUGUUUGACUGGGCACGGAGUUUAAGAAAAAAAUGAAGACUUUUGGAAUUUGUGGCCCUAAACAAGUCCAAAUGGGCCCUAGAGUAUUUGUGUGGUUAUAAAAGCUUCUCAUUAAGGGUAGAGUUGUAACUUUAUAUAAAUUGUUACCAAAUUUAGAAAGGGUUCAUUCUUUUUGGAACGGACCAAAAAGGAAAUAGGUUCACAUAAACUGGAACAAAGGGAGUAGUAUGUUUCCUUUCAUGUUUCUAUUACUUGCACUAUUAAGCCUGUUGUUAGCUUAGGAAAGCAUGUCUAAGUGACUUAACUGCUUUUCUUGCUCAAACCGCCUUACUUGAAUUCUGUGUAGCAUGCUAGGCUAGAAUCACUUGUUGCCUUGAUAUGAAAUUUUGCUAUUUCUAUAUAUUUUCCUGUUGCUGUUGUGUGUUUAUUUUGGGACUACGGAUGUGGGAUUCCGGUAGCUCCCCCCCUUGUCUGUAUAUUUUGGGACUAUGGAUGUGGAAUUCUGGUAGAUCCCCCUGCACAAUUAGAUGGAACUACAAGAAUGCACCCGGUAUAUUCCCCAGUACUAGGUAUUUACAUUUGGGACUACGGAACGGGAUUCCGGUAGAUCCCCGCGCACUAUGAGUUGGACCACGGGACGGGAUCCCGGGAGAUCUAUUGGAUAUGUACAUAUGGGACUAAAGGACGGUAUCCUGAGAGAUCCCCGACUGUUAUUAUUGGUGCUGAGCUGUAUUUCUUUUCUGUGUUUACCUUCUUCUGUAUAGUUGUUGUUGUCCUGUACAUCCUGUGUUAUUUUACUACUGUACUUAUUUAUACAGUUUUGUUCUAUACUGUUGAUCUUUAUAUUUUAUUUAACCUCAGUAGGACCUGACCUUCCUCGUCACUACCCAACCGAGGUUAGGCUUGACACUUACUGAGUACUGUGGUGUACUCAUGCCCCUUCUGCGCAUGUUUUUCAUGUGCAGAUCCAGGUACUGCAACUCAGUCCUAUCACCUGUGAGGCCAGGUGACUGCUCUAGAGACUUCGAGGUACAUCUUCCACGUCCGCAGACCGAGGAGUCUCUUUCUAUUCUAGAUUUUAAACAUUUCCCUUUUGUAUUUCUUUCCCUUGUUAGAUAUUCUGGAGUUAGACAUUGUAGAUAUCCAAAGGCUUGUGGUUCCGUGAGUUUUCGGGUUUUGGGAUAGUGUACUUGGUUAUGAGAAAUGUAGUGUUGUGUCUGCCGAGUAACUUUUUAACAUUGUUUUUAUCACUCUUCAUUCUAUUUUAAUUUGUUUAUAUUUUGCAUUUUGGUUAUCUUCCGCAAUUUAGGCUUACUUAGUUGUAGAGGACUAUGUGCCAUCAUGAUGGUUCACGGAAGGCAAACCUGGUUCGUGACAUUGGUGGAACACCUGGCGCCUGAACUAUAACACGAGAACCCUUCCGCUGGGACUAAAUACCCACCAAUCUCGGACAAGCCCUCCGGAUGUGACCAUACUCACCGCACUCAAAGCAUCCACCUGAAUGUUGUGGCUGAGGAAACUAAGACUGACCCUGACAACCUGAAUGACCACCCCAAAAACUCUGGAGCAGCGGUGUACUGGUAGGAGCUAGUGGUGCACUAUAUGGCUGCUGAUUAGAAUACUGCAUAUGAGAACCACGACCACGUGAAGCGCCGUGAGAAACCUGAAGUACUGACUGAAAAGGCCUAGGCGGAUGGCCUCCACCAUACGAAUCCCUGCCUCCAGAUGAGGCACCACUAAAUCUGCCUGAAUGACGAAGCCUCUUGUCAGACCCCUGACAACCCCCCUGUCAUAGAACCAUCUCAACUCUCCUGGCCACAUUGGCCGCCUCCUAAAAAGAAAUCUCACUCCUCAUUUCCUUAUCCAUCUGAAGUCGAAUAGGCUGAAUGAUUCCUUCAAUGAACCUCCUCAUCCUCUCUCUCUCGGUGGGAAAUAUGAUAAGAUCAUGACGGGCCAAGUCGAUGAAUCUGGUCUCGUAUUGAGUGACAGUCAUAGAACCCUUCUAGGGUGCUUAAACUGCCUCCGAUAGAUCUCUCUCUGAGUGAUAGGGAGAAACUUCUCCAGAAAUAGCUGAGUAAACUGCUCCUAAGUCAAAGCUGGUGAUCUGGCUGGUCUAGUGAUGAUGUCCAAAUCCACUACUAAAAAUUAAAUGGACUUGGUCGCAUGCAAUAUAAUUUACACAAUUAUAAGUCGGGGUCGAAUCCCACAGAGAAUAAUAUGUAGGCGAUUAAGAAUGUAAGAGAAUUAUCACUUGUUAUGUAAUGCCAAACACUUAGAUUUUGGUUGAAAAAGUAUCUAUACCUAAAUGUGGAAAUAUAAACUAACCUAGAAAGCAAGUAAAAUGAUCAAUGACUACAAGUAUNNNNNNNNNNNNNNNNNNNNNNNNNNNNNNNNNNNNNNNNNNNNNNNNNNNNNNNNNNNNNNNNNNNNNNNNNNNNNNNNNNNNNNNNNNNNNNNNNNNNNNNNNNNNNNNNNNNNNNNNNNNNNNNNNNNNNNNNNNNNNNNNNNNNNNNNNNNNNNNNNNNNNNNNNNNNNNNNNNNNNNNNNNNNNNNNNNNNNNNNNNNNNNNNNNNNNNNNNNNNNNNNNNNNNNNNNNNNNNNNNNNNNNNNNNNNNNNNNNNNNNNNNNNNNNNNNNNNNNNNNNNNNNNNNNNNNNNNNNNNNNNNNNNNNNNNNNNNNNNNNNNNNNNNNNNNNNNNNNNNNNNNNNNNNNNNNNNNNNNNNNNNNNNNNNNNNNNNNNNNNNNNNNNNNNNNNNNNNNNNNNNNNNNNNNNNNNNNNNNNNNNNNNNNNNNNNNNNNNNNNNNNNNNNNNNNNNNNNNNNNNNNNNNNNNNNNNNNNNNNNNNNNNNNNNNNNNNNNNNNNNNNNNNNNNNNNNNNNNNNNNNNNNNNNNNNNNNNNNNNNNNNNNNNNNNNNNNNNNNNNNNNNNNNNNNNNNNNNNNNNNNNNNNNNNNNNNNNNNNNNNNNNNNNNNNNNNNNNNNNNNNNNNNNNNNNNNNNNNNNNNNNNNNNNNNNNNNNNNNNNNNNNNNNNNNNNNNNNNNNNNNNNNNNNNNNNNNNNNNNNNNNNNNNNNNNNNNNNNNNNNNNNNNNNNNNNNNNNNNNNNNNNNNNNNNNNNNNNNNNNNNNNNNNNNNNNNNNNNNNNNNNNNNNNNNNNNNNNNNNNNNNNNNNNNNNNNNNNNNNNNNNNNNNNNNNNNNNNNNNNNNNNNNNNNNNNNNNNNNNNNNNNNNNNNNNNNNNNNNNNNNNNNNNNNNNNNNNNNNNNNNNNNNNNNNNNNNNNNNNNNNNNNNNNNNNNNNNNNNNNNNNNNNNNNNNNNNNNNNNNNNNNNNNNNNNNNNNNNNNNNNNNNNNNNNNNNNNNNNNNNNNNNNNNNNNNNNNNNNNNNNNNNNNNNNNNNNNNNNNNNNNNNNNNNNNNNNNNNNNNNNNNNNNNNNNNNNNNNNNNNNNNNNNNNNNNNNNNNNNNNNNNNNNNNNNNNNNNNNNNNNNNNNNNNNNNNNNNNNNNNNNNNNNNNNNNNNNNNNNNNNNNNNNNNNNNNNNNNNNNNNNNNNNNNNNNNNNNNNNNNNNNNNNNNNUGAGCCGGAACCUCAUCAUCAAACUCAACCUGAGGCUUCGCCGCUGGUGCUGAUGCUCUGGGCUGAGCUCUGCCCUUACCUCGGCCUCUAGCACAGCCUCGGCCUCACCCACUACCCCUCGUGCGAGCUGCUGCUGGGGGUUCGAGCUGCUGAUCGGUGGAUGAGGAAGCGCGUGUUCUCGCCAUCUGCAAAAGAACAGAGUAUAAAUUCAAUUAGCAUUGAGAAACCAAACCGCACAAGAUGAAAGAAUAGAUGUGAAACUUUUCCUAACUCCGCAGCCUCUUGGGGAUAAAUACAUACGUCUGUGUACCGAUCCCUUAGACUCUACUAAGGUUGUUUGUGAAUUGUGAGACCCAUGUAACCUAAAGCUCUAAUACCAACUUGUCACGACCCAUAUUUCCUACCCUCGGAAGUCGUGAUGGCGCCUUCUAGAAAAGGUAGGCAAGCUGACCAUUUGAACAUAUUACCUUUUUCCCAUUUUAAUUCUUUAACAAAUGUGAAUCAACAGUCUAUAAACAGCAAAAAUUUAAAACAAGCGGAAGAAAUAAUUAAACCAUUUAAAUAAUUCCAAUAUGAUUUCUUAAAUAAAAACUACCCAAUGUUGGUGUCACAACUCCACAGACGAUCUAAGAAUUCUACAAACAAGGUCCGAAAAAAUAAAUGCAACACUGCUUCUGAAUUACAUGAGUGACGUUCAUAGGAUAUCAUGACAUUGUAUUUCGUAUUUUAUAUGGUUAUAAAUAAAACUAGCCCUAGGCGUCUGCCUAGCAGAUUGAAAAAAAAAUAAAAAAUUACAUGAGUGAAACAGGAAGAAACGAUAGAGGGAGAUGCCAGGGUCUGCGGACGCCUGCAGGACUACCUUGGAUCUCCGUAUGGACUGAAGGCAGCCACCCAAGCUAAGGCCCAAAAGCUGCUGCUGCUCCGGGAUCUGCACACAGUGCAGAGUGUAGUAUCAACACAACCGACCCCAUAUGCUAGUAAGUGCCUAGUCUAACCCCGGUGAAGUAGUGACGAUGCUAGGACAAGACUACCAACUAAACCUGUGCAGUUUAAGCAUAUAUAUAUAUAUAUAGCAAGUAAUAAUAAAGGAAACUAUCAGUUAAAGAUGGGAAGGGGACAUGCUGUGGGGGAAUAUCUUUUGCCAACAGUAACUCAGGAGGAAAACAUAAAGAACAAUUUAAAAUUUGUAGCAGAAGGAAUAAGGAAACAUAACAAAUUAAUAUCCACUUUUAUCCUUUAUUGUUGCGGCGCGCAACCUGAUCCAAAUCAUAUGUCACUGUUGCGGCGUGCAACCCGAUCCAAAUAUAAUAUUGUUGCGACGUGCAACCCGAUCCCUAUAUACAAUUCAACGCCAAUCACAAAAGGUCCCAGCAAGGGAGUAAUAAGAAAACAACAAUAUCUCGAUAAAGGAAUCAACAGUAAGAAGUAAAUACGUCCCGACAAGGGAAUUAGCUAUAACCAAACUUGUUCCAACAUUUAACUUUAGAAAGAAACCUCAUCUAGAACCGAUACUCAACCAUAAGCAAUUUCCACGGGAAUAGUCAUAAUUCUUUCCCAACAUAGAGAAUUAACAACUUAGGCAUUUGUAGUACUUAUUAAGAACACAACGAUUUCAAUUUAAGACUCACGGGCAUGCUUGACAAUGAAGUAUAGAUACUCGUCACCAUGCCUAUACGUCGUACUCAAAAAAUAACACAUAACAAAUAGGACUCGACUCCUAAUCUCUCAAGCUAAGGUUAGACCAAACACUUAACUCAAACUUCCACGACCAACUCAAGCCUCAAACACUGCUUUUCCUCUAAAAUUUGCCUCCAAAUAACUCGUAUCUAGUCCAAAUUGAUUUAACAACAUCAAUAAAUGCUAAAGAAUUCAUACCCAAUGCUUAAUUAUAGGUUUCCUAUCAUUUUUCCCAAAAAAUCAAAAAUUGACCCCGGGCCCGCUUGGUCAAAACUCGAGGUUCGGACCAAAACUCGAUCGCCCAUUCACCCACGAGCUUAAAUAUGCAAUUAGUUUCAGAAUCCGACCCCAAAACGAGGUCUAAAUCCCAAUUAAUCAAAAGCCCUAACUCUACCCAAAUAUCCUAAUUUCUACCAUGAAAAACCUAGAUUUUAGGAUGAAAAUUGAUGAAAUGCAAUGGGAAAUCAAAAGAAAAAGGUUUAGCAUCACCAAUGUUUUGGGGGAGAAAUUGUUCUUUGAAAAUCGCCUCAAUGCUUCCAAAUUUCGAAAAUAUGAAGCAAAUGGGUUCUGCCUGGUUCUGGUUCUGUUUAAAAAAUAACUGGGCAAGCAUUCAUCGCGUUUGCGAUAGGCCUGUCACGUUUGCGAUGGGUCAGGCCCAGAUGGCUAUUGCGUUCGCGUUCAAGGGCUCGCGUUCGCAUUCAAGGGCUCACGUUCGAGGAGCUUCAACUCCUCGAGCCUUCGCGUUCGCGGUCAGGUGGCUGCGUUCACGUAGAGUAAAAUCCCUCUUCCCCUGCCCAGGCCCAAAGGCUUUCGCGUUCGCGAUAUCAGGUCCGCGUUCGCGAAAGGAAUCACAUCCAAAGCUUCUCGUUCGCGACCUGUUUCUCACGUUCGUGUAGAAGGAAAAUUCCUUCAGCCUGACUUACCCUUCGCGUUCAAAAACAUAAUAUGAACUUAUUUGUGCGAUCAAAUCGCCAAAAUAACAUCUUAAACAACGAAUUUAGCAUAGAAAUCUAAGAAAAAUCUCAAAACUUUCAAAGUAUCAAUUUUCACAACUACGGAUCUGAAUCACAUCAAACAACUUCCGUUUCUUACCAAAUUUUACAGGCUCGACUUAAAUCACAUAUAAGACCUUUACCGGGCUCCGAAACUAAAAUAUGGGCCCGAUACCAUCAGCUUCCAAACAUUUUUCAUUUCUAAAAACUCAUAUAUAUUUUAGAAAAUAAUUUUCCUUAAAAAAACUCAUUUCUCGGUCUUGGGACCUUGAAUUUCAAUUCCGGGCAUACGCCCAAGUCCCAUAUUUUCCUACGGACCCUCCGGGACCGUCAAAUCAUGGGUGCAGGUCAGUUUACCCAAAAUAUUGACCGAAGUCAAUAUAAAUUCAUUUUAAAGGAAAAUUUUAUUAUUUUUCACAGAUUUUCACAUAAUGGCUUUCCGGCUAUGCGCCCAGACUGCACACGCAAAUCGAAGUGAUGCAGAGAGAGGUUUUUUAGGCCUCGAAACACUUAAUUUAUUUCUAAAACAACCGAUGACAUUUUGGGUCAUCACAGUAAAGAAAGUACCCCUUUCAAUUUAUAUACAACAUCGAAAGAAUUAUUACCUUUAACAUGGGAAUUAAUAAUUUAAAAGUUAGUAGAAAUUCCUUUUUAAGUAAAAUACAACCUCAGAUAUUUGCGAUAUGAAGUUAAUAGCAUCUCGCGAUAGAAAGAAGUAUUUCAUAACUUUUAUUGAUGAUAAUACUCGAUAUUGCUAUGUUUACUUACUUAAUAGUAAAGGUAAAGUAAUAGACGCAUUCAAGCAAUACAAAAAUGAAGUUAAAAUGCAACUUAACGAGAAAAUCAAAAUGAUAAGAAGUGAUAGGAGUGGUGAAUAUAAAUAUCCUUUUGAACAAAUAUGUUUAGAAUAUGGAAUUAUUCAUCAAACAACGGCCCCUUACAUGCCCCAAUCUAAUGGGAUUGCAGAAAGAAGGAAUCGUUUAUUAAAGGAGAUGAUGAACGCAUUAUUGAUAAGUUCUGGUUUGCCACAGAACUUGUGGGGGGAAGCCAUUCUUUCGGCUAACCAAAUACUAAAUCGAGUACCCCAUAGCAAAAUACAAUCUAUUCCAUAUGAAAAAUAAAAAGAAAAGAAGCUCAACUUGAAUUAUUUUAAAGUGUGGGGGUAUUUGUCAAAAGUGGAAGUUCCUAAACCCAAAAGGGCGAAAAUAGGACCGAAAACUGUUGAUUGUGUUUUCAUAGGAUAUGUGACCAAUAGUAAAUUAUAUCGAUUUCUAGUUCAUAAAUCAGAAAAUCCCGACAUUCAUAAUAAUAAGGUUAUAGAAUCAGAUAAUGUUGAGUUCUUUGAAAAUAUAUAUCCGUAUAAAAAGGAAUGUGAGACGAUUGGUGAAGGAUCUAAAUGACCUCGGGAAGAAACAAAAGAAAGUACAUUAAGUCAGGAGGAUCCAAGACGUAGUAAAGGUCAAAGAAUGUCUACUUCAUUUGGACCAGAUUUUGUGAUUCUUGUUGGAAAACGAGCAUUGAACAUUUAAAGAAGCUAUGUCUUCUUCGGAAACAUUAUUUUGGAAAGAGGUAGUCAAUAGUGAAAUAGAAUCCAUAUUGAACAACCAUACAUGGGAAUUGGUUGAUCUUCCUCCUGGAAAUAAACCUUCGGGGUUCUAAAUAGAUAUUUAAGAGGAAAAUGAAAGAUGAUGGCACUAUUAAUAAAUUUAAGGCAAGACUUGUAGUCAAAGGGUAUAGACAACGAGAAGGUCUUGACUACUUUGAUACAUACUCUCUAGUUACAAGAAUUACAUCCAUACGGAUGUUAGUAGCAUUAGCUGCAGUGUAUGGUUUUGAAAUUCAUCAAAUGGACAUGAAGACGACCUUCUUGAAUGGAGAUUUGGAUGAAGAAAUCUACAUGGAACAACCUGAAGGGUUUGUGGUUCAAGGUAAGGAAAAGAAAGUCUGUAGACUUAUUUAGUCCUUUCACGGACUAAAACAAGCACCCAAACAACGGCAUGCAAAAUUUGACCAAAUAAUAUUGUCAAAUGGUUUUAAAAUAAACGAAUGGGAUAAAUGUGUAUACAUUAAAAAUAUUCCAAAUCACAUAGUCCUUGUUUGCUUAUAUGUGGAUGAUAUGCUAAUAAUGAGUAAUGACAUUGACAACAUAAAUGCGACUAAGCGUAUGCUAACUGGCAAGUUUGAUAACAAAGACUUGGGAGUUGCUAAUUUAAUUCUGGGAACUAAGAUCCAUAAGACUUCUUAAGGUCUGGCAUUGUCACAGUCUCAUUAUAUUAAGACAGCACUUGAAAAAUUCAAGACUUGGGCUUUAAAGUUGCAAAGACUCCAAUUGUCGCGAAUCUUGUAUUAGCAAAGAACAAAGGCCAAAGCAUAUCACAAUUGGAUUAUGCUCGCAUGUUGGGAUGCUUAAUGUACAUCGUGAAUUAUACACGACCAGAUAUAGCUUGUUCUAUAAGUAAAUUGAGUCGAUACACGAGCAAUCCAGGUCAAUCUCAUUGGAUGGUAAUGAAACGAGUUUUGGGAUAUUUAGAAUAUACCCAAGACUUUGCUUUGCACUACAGUAAAUAUCCUGCAGCCAUUGAGGGAUACUGUGAUGCAAAUUGUAUCACCGGAUCAACUGAUUCCAAGUCCACAAGUGGAUAUGUAUUCACUAUUGGUGGGGGAGCGGUAUCUUGGAAGUCGUCCAAACAAACUUGUAUUGCCCGCUCUGCAAUGGAGGCUGAAUUCAUAGCCUCAGAUAAAGCUGGUGAAGAAGCUGAAUGGCUCUCAAAUUUCUUGGAAGACAUUCCAAUUUGGCCCAAACUGUUAGCACCAAUAUGCAUACAUUGCGAUAGUCAAGCGGCAAUUGGAAGGGCUGGGAGCAUUAUGUAUAACGACAAAUCUCGUCAUAUACGACGAAGAUAUACAACCAUAAGACAAUUACUCUCUAGAGGAAUUAUCACGAUUGACUAUGUAAAGUCAAGUGAUAAUGUGUCGGAUCCACUUACAAAAGCCCUAACUAGAGAGGUAGUUGAGAAAUCAUCAAGGGGAAUGAGAUUAUGGCCGAGAACAAGUCAUAGUGGCGACAACUCUACCUAGAAGACUGGAGAUCCCAAGAUCUAGGUCCAAGGAGAUCAAACAAAGUCAUUAAUGACGGUUCAACAUUGUCAAUUAAACUUUUGGUCCAUUCUCGUGAUGAGACAAUGUUCAGUGCCACGGAUAAAUCAUUAAGGCUUUUUAAUAUUUUCUAAAUUUGAUAUGUGGUAUAUCAAAUAGUGUACCUACGGGAUGAAACGUUUAUGAAUCACCUAUGUAAGUGUGAAAUGUUAGCCGCUUCAAGGAGAAUUUUGCAAGGCCAGUUCUCUAUGCACUUAUGAAACCACGCGGUGUUCAUGGCUGAAACGAACACAACAAUGAGAACCAAAGACAGUUAAGGGUUGGUUAUGUGACUUAUGGUUGUCUACACCAAAGGCGGUGUUCAUGGCUGAAACGAACACAACAAUGAGAACCAAAGAAAGUUUAAAGGGAAACCUACUUAUCCAGAUGCAAUUAAUCCUUGCUUGUGAAUCACACAGUUUUUCAUGCAUAUUUCCAUGAUAUAGCCAUUCCCCAUUCAUGUGGGGGAUUGUUGGGUUUUAAGCAUUAAUAUGGCUUAAAAGAAGAUGAAUGGGAAAUGGAGGGAAAUGAAAUUUUUGAGUGAAAUAUUAAGUUUCCCUCCUAGAUGAAGGAACAUUGUUCCAUAUUUGAAGAGGAAGAGGUUUUUAAUGGGUAUAUAAGCAAUUAUUCUUCUUCUAACUCUUAAAGAGUUGAGAAGAAGGCAAGCCUCGCGCUGUCGUCGUCGCUCGCUCGGCUCGGCUUCGGCUUCGGCUUCGGAUUUGGAUUUGGAUUUGGAUUUGGUCAAAUGAUCGAUUGAUUGAUUAAAUUUUUGGACCAAAUUUAUUUUUUAAUAGUAAAUAUUAACAAAAAUAUUAUUAAAUAAUCAUUUAAAUAAUAAAAUAUUAAUAUUAAGAUCCAACAAUUUCCAUUUUUCCGUUUUCUGUUUUGGUAACAGAAAAUUAAUUACCCUCUUCAAUUUUUCCUCUUUAUUGUUGAGUAAAUAACCAUUUAUGUUAUGACAUUUAUGGUGUGGCCGUUUUGCAUAAACAGCCAUUUGGAAGAGUUGCACCUCUUCAGAUUUCAGCUCAACAUUGGCUAUAAAUACAAGUCCAUUCUCUCAGAUUUUACAUAUGAUUUUCUGAGUUUCUCCUCCUCCUUCUGCAUUGUUUUAACUUCAAAGAAAGCAACAAUAAUUUUGAUUUGCUACAGAACUUUGUGUUCGCUGAAACACUGGGUUUGAAGUACCACUACACCAGUGUAUAAUUUUUUCUAUCCUGGGAGGAAACAAUCCAUAACUUUGGGUACUAGGAGGGGAUUAAAUUCCUUAAGGAAACACUGUGAAUUCAGUGGGCUCGAAUUAAUUUUCGUUUCUUUACAUUUUCUAUUUAUAUGUUAUUCACUGUUUUCCAGAAUUAGUUUACAAAUACAGAUUACUAACAUUAACAACUUGCAGUCAUAAAUAAUAUCGUUAAGUACUUCAUUACCUUCUUUUAUUAAUUUAAUCACCUCUGUUGAGUCUGUUUCAAUCUCUACCGGUUGUUGUUGCAUUUUCAAAGCAAUUUGGAGGCCUUGUUUCAGCGCUAAAAAUUCUGUCUGAAGUGGAGAUGCCGUAUAUGUGCAGUUUGUAAACCCACAAUCCAGGCACCUCUGGUGUUUCUGAUGAGGCCACCUAAACCUGCUUGAAGGUUUUCCUCCUUGAAGGAACCAUCCACAUUUAAUUUAUGAUAACUAUUUGGUGGCUUAUGCCAUUUGACAUAAAUAGUACAAUUCUUGGUAAUAUUAUAGUCAGAAUAAGAUACUCUUAUUUAGGUUUAAGGGAAGUUCAAUUAUGAAGAUAUUCUUUGUUGUAGCUGAAUCAAUGGUUACAGUAAAAUUGCACCAGAAUGAGAUACCUAGCUAUUAACGAUGAGUUUAAAUUUUGUUUAUACCAGCAAGUCCAAUGCGUCAACCAAAAAUAAGAGUAAUAAUCUAUUGUAAUCGAUUAAAUUUUUAACAUUUUUUACGGCGUCGGUGUAUAAAAACGUAAAUCCAUUAACAAACAGAAGAGAAUAAUAGCAUCAUGAAAUAGAAAUCACCGAAUGCGCUCUCAUUUUACAAUAGGUAUAGCAAUUAAAAUUACAUACUCUGCCGUAAGCAUCUCAUGAUAUUAGUACAAUUUACUCCACUAGAAAAGAUAAACCAAGAAAAAUAGAGACAACCACGAUUUGUUGUUUACGAGUUCAGAAUUUAUCAUCAAAUUCAUACCUCAUCUUGGUUAUUGAGUUCGCAAUUAAAUAUAUAUUUAAUGGAUCUUCUAAUAUAAAUACAAAAUCUAGUAAAGCUACUACCCGUGCGUUACACUCUAGCUCGGCCCCUGAAGCAAAUUAAAAGUCCAUCAAAGCAAUAGACAUAGAAAAUAUAGUGAUUAGAAUCGAAGACCAUUAAGUCCUAGAGUCAUCCAUCCAUAAAUAAUCCAGGUGCACGCAUGUUCACACAACCUAUCCUACAAGCAUCCAUCCAUCAAUAAUCCAAGACUCAAUCUGAACAUGAGUACACAAAACUCAACCGCCGUCUCUGUCACGACCCAAAUCUAUUUAAAAGUCGUGAUGGCGUCGUAUACUACUGUCAGACAAGUCAACACUAAAUAGUUAAUUAAAUUCUCAUUUUAAUAUUUUUGAAAUUAUAAAUAUUCUUCAAUUUAACUAGUAAAAGAUGAACUUUACAAAAUAAAUAAUAAUGUUUUCCACUUUCAAUACUGAAUAUCCCAUAAUCAUCCCAAAACCUGGUAUCACAAGUGCAUGAGCAUUUACUAGGAAAUGAAAUAAAAUAAACUACAACAUCUGUCGGAAUAAAAAUUUGGACAUGAGAGAAAAAUACAAAGACUCUGAAGGAUACUCUGAUGGUUGCGGAUCGUAACAUGGAAUACAUCUCACGUAAGUCCCCGCAUCAACCACCUUGUUGCGCCCACAAGGUCACUGAACAUACAUGUGCACAGUACAACAAAAUGUACGGCAAGCGUAUUAUGAGUACGAAAACAACGCGUACCUAGUAAGUAUCCAGUCUAACCUCGAAGAAAUAGUAACGAGGGGUCGACUUUGACACUUAUUAGCGGUCCAAUAAUAUCAGGUACAAUAAAGAGGUAAAUAAAUGUGAGGCAGAGUAAAUAAAUGAAUUAAAUAAGCAUAAAUAUAUGAGAUACAAAUUCCCUUCUUUACAAUGAACUCAAGCUUCCCAAUUGAAAUUCCCUCCUUAACCGGAGCACACAUAAGGGUGUAGUGGACCUCAUCAAGUAGAUUAUCAUAAAUACAAAUCCGAAAAUAUCACGGAUACACCGACUGCUUGCCAAAUAUUACGCACGAUUCCAUGAAGAUAUGAUAUAGGAAAUUCCAUGGAGUACGGUCCGGUCCAACAUAAAAUUAAACUGUGUACUGCCGAGGGCCGAACGGCACGAACCAUAGAUGUAUCUAUUAACCUGUCGAGGCGAACGACCCGCUCCCAUGAGAGUGUAUUAUAUAGAUCCUGCUGAGGCAAACGGCCCGAUCCUAUACGAGUGAAAUACAUAAUCCUGCCGAGGCGAAUGACCCGAUCCUAUAAGAGUAGUGGAAAUUUACCCCGCUCGCGAAAUAUAAUUGCGACGCGGUUAUACAUAGAUUUCUUAAGUGAUUAUAGUAUUCCUCAAUUCUUUUCAAAAUAUGAAGUUCAAAGGAAAACUUUUAAGUUCCCAAUUUUUCCUCAAGUUCAACUCCUUUCAAAAUAUUUAAUAAACAAACUCAAUCUCGCUUCUUCUCAAGGAAAGCAAUAAACAUAAAUCAACAACAAUAUCAAUGAGGCAUGAUGUAAGCCUAAAAUUACCCGGACAAAGGCAUAACUAGUAGCUACGUACGCACUCUCAUCAUCUCGUGCGUACGUAGCCCCUACAAAUAGAAGCACACAAUAAUUUAGUUCACCUAUGAGGGUUAAUUCCGUCUUACGAGGUUAGAAAGGACACUUACAUCGCUCCAAAGUUCCAUAGCCGGCUCCUAAGCUUUUCCAACAAUUCAAACAGAUGCCUAACGCUCCAUAAACUAGUCAAUAAUUGUGCAAACCCAUAAACAUAUACUCAAAUACUCAUUAAAAUCCUAUUAACAACAAUUCUCAACUCCGCUUGAAAAGUCGAUAAAAUCACUCUUGGGCCCACGUGCCUGGAUUCCGAAAAUUUUCAAAGAUAAACUUUACCCAUAACCCCGCGAACUCAAAUAUAUGAUUUAUUCUUCAAUUCUAUACCCAAUUUCGUGGUAAAAAAUUCACAAAUACCAAAUCUUAGGUUUUCUACCAAAACCCAACAAUUUCUACUAAUUUUCAUGUUUAAAUCCUUAUACAAACCAUGUAUUUAACUUAUAAUAAGUGGGAAUCACUUAUAUUGACAUAGAUGAUGAAAAUCUCCCUUCCAAGAGCUCCAAAAUUGCCCAACCAAUUGAAAAAUGGAGGAAAAAUGGCCAAAUCCCGUCUUUAAAACAAUCUGCCCAGGCCAGCCCUUCUUCACAUUCGCGAUCAAAGCCUCGCGUUCACGAAAGCUGCAGAUACCACUACUUAGCGUUCGCGAAGGCCAAACUACUCCAGGUUCCCACUCUGAUUUCUUCUUCGCGUUCGCGACCCUUGUGUCGUGUUCACAUAAGCUUCAUUAGGCAACACUCCAUGUUCGCGUUUGAGAAGGCCAAAAAACCAGCUGCCUCAAAUUCCUCUUCACAAACGCGGGACACCCUACGCGUUCGCGAUGAAGGAAACCAGAUACCAGCAGCAGCAGUUCAAAAUAGCCCAAAAUGAUCAGGAACAAUCUUGAAACACACCUGAGGUCCCCGAGAUCCCGUCCAAUCACACAAACCAGUCCCACAGCUAGACGUGCUAUAGGCCUCAAAUCACAUCAAACAACAUCAAUAUCGUGAAUCACAGUCCACUUCUGAUCAAACUUCUCAAUAACUUUCAAAUUUCUAACUUUCGCCAAAUGACCCCGAAAUGACCUACGGACCUUCGAAUCCACUUCCGGACGCACUCCCAAUACCAGAACCACCAUAUGAAGCUAUUCCCAAACUUAAAAUCCCAAACGGACAUUGAUAACAUAAAAUACACCUCCACCCCAAUUUCAUGAAACUCUUCCAAAAUGCUAACUUCCACAAUAGGCGCCGAAAUGCUCCAGGUCAUCCAAAACCCGAUCCGAAUAUAUGCCCAAGUCCGAAAUCAUCAUACAAACCUGUUAUAACCUUCAAAUCCCGAUUCCGAGGUUGUUUACUCAAAAAUUCAAUCUUAGUCAAUUCUUCCAACUUAAAGCUUCAGAAAUGAGAAUUCUCUUUCCAAAUCAACUCUGAACUUCCGAAAUUCCAGUUCCGACCACACGUGCAAGUCAUAAUACCUGAAGUGAAGCUGCUCAAGGCCUCAAACCUCCGAAUGGCACACUACAGCUCAAAAUGAUCGGUCGAGUCGCUACAUUCUCUCCCAUUUAAAUAUACGUUCGUCCUCGAACGUGCUAAGAACUGUGCUGGAUUUGUCUGAAAUCACUAUGUACACCUCGUGCACCUACCCGUGCUACCACAACUCAGUUGAGCACAUUUUCUCGAACAAAUCUGAAGAUUCUCCCUUUUUACUUAGCCAAAUAAGUCUUAGAGCCAAAUAUCAACACCCAAAAUUCUCUAUCAGGCCUGUUUCCAACAUACAAACAUCGUAUCUAUCACCACACGAUAUACCAAAACAUGAUUGUAUGCCUUUGCUGAAUUAACACCAUGAACCGCAUAUUUCGCAUGACCAUAAUAACAUCCUCUGAUAAUAAUAGCCGACAUUCCAUGAAUCUGAUGCUCACACACAGGUCAUGACUCAUAUAAAUCCUAUUCCAAAUCUUGAAAUACCUCCACGACAAAAGCGAUGUGUAGAAAUUCAUGACCAAUUACUGAGUCAAUAAUUCAUUGAGUUCUUUCUUGUGACAAGAACCAUUGCCUCAUUAUGAACAAAAUAACUAUAUUUGCUCUUUAUUAUACUUCAUAUAAAUUCGAUCGCACUGAUCCCAGGUAUAAUAAUCUCGUCUCACCUAGUACAAGCUGCUCAGGCAAUAAGCCACCUCAGACAUUGCUAAAAGUCUCAUAUGAUGCCACAAUGUGCCAACAAGCUACAAACUCGAACGUGAUACAUAAGGAGAACGAACUCUGGAAAGAACCACUCGACCUACAUAACUAAUUGAACAACUGAAAGGAUGUCAUGAACCUCCCUCAUAAAAUGGGAAACAAAGAAUGCAAGAAUAGAUAUAGGGGACUGUACUCAAAAUCACACUGUUGCGGCGUGCAACCCGAUCCACACAUAAUACCAUAUAAGGAAAGACUUUACUGAGCUAAAAUGCUCAUGAAUAUGAAAUACCCGAAUAUCGACCACAAGCACGUUAAGUUCAUAAUACAAAUAUUAGGGAGAUAGAUAGUCGUACGCCAUAAUACUCAAACACGACUAAGGUGCAAUAUAUGAUCUGUAUCUCAAGAGUCAUCCUACUCACAUAACACCAUCGCUACAUGGAACCUCAACACAUAUGCAAUUAAUCAUGCCAUCUCACAACCCACACGACACAAUAGAGUAUUACAUGAAAUAGCCAAUGAUGAAAUAAUAUCCAACGUUUGAAUACUCCUCUGUUAGUUUGUACGAGUCUACCAAAUAGUAGAGUACCUUGUCCUCUACGAGAUUCUGCUUAGAAUGUUAUUAAACUGUAAGUAAAAGAGAUACGAGAUUUUUACGUGGAAAAAUCCCACACAAGGGGACCAAAAACCAUGACCUACACCAGUAGGCUUUCAACUUCACUAACUUGUAAAAACCUAUUACAAGCCACUUUGUAAUGACUCCAUUACAAAGAAUUCAAUGCAACUAACUUGUGGUACUUUUACCACAAGCCACUUUGUGACUCCCUAGUUACAAAGACUUUUACUAACUUGUGAUGCUCUCACUACAAGACACUUUGUCACUCUACAGUUACAAAGGCUUUUGCUUUUGACUAAACCUAGUCACAACAUAAACUCAAGGAGUUUACGGAUUUUACAAGAGGAUUCCUAGUCAGCGCUUCUAGCUAAGCAAUUUAGGAGAUACAAUAAGUACAAUCACAAAGUUACAACUCAACUAAGUACAACAACAUGCUAACUUUAGGAACUGGUAUGUAGUUGCGUUCAACUUUGUUCUUCAAGCUCGUGAGGAUUGAUUUCUCUCUUUUUGCAAAAGGCUUGAAUGAUAAACUGAAAUAUUCAAGUAAUGUUUCAAUAUAAACUCAUGUUGGUACACCUUGAUUGCAUCACUUAAAUGAUGUGAGCACUUUAGUUGGUCAAGAAGUGAGUGGGCACUGGAAAUAGUGCAGUGCGGCAGAAACAGUGUAGUCAGUCACUUCAUUUCUAGCUGUUUCCAACUGACUUUGUACUGCUAUGAGGGAACCACAAGGGUAGUAGGUCCUUGUUUAGUUUCAUGGCUCCUGAAGCUGUAGCAGUUCACAUUUAGCUGGAAUCUAUUAAAUGCAGUGUAGUCCAAGUGAGUCAGGUUCCCUAUCUGGUCCUUAACAUUAAGUUUGUUAGAUCAUCAAAACAUAAGGCAAAGAUAUUGAAAACCUAUCAAUUUCCCCCUUUUUGAUGAUGAAAAACUUAACAUUGAUAACGAGGAUUUAGAGCUAAAAGAACCAGAUUAAGUAAUAGGAGAACACAAGUUCCCCCAAACUCUAUGCCCUUUCGUACACAUAUUCCCCCAUAUGUUCCCCCUGACUUUAUGGUCAUAUUCUACUAUUAUUUUCCCCCUUUUGGCAUCAUUAAAAAGACAAAAACAGAAGAGCAACACAAAAAAGUCCAGCCAAGCUAACUCAUGCCACAUAUGUGCACAUAAAUAUGAUAGAGAAUAGAAACAAAGAAGUAAAGCACUGAUAUAAUAAAAAAGGAUAGAAUUUAUAUUGAUAAAACUUUAAUAUGACUUUGCUUAAAAAGCAAGAGGCAACAUUGUACCGUUAAAACGAGAGCAGUAGUGUUUCAUCCCAACCACAUAAAAAAAGAAAACAAAACAUCUGCCAAAACAACAAAAAAAACUAAAGAACAUUUCCAGAUCUGGUCACUAAAGGGAUACUUAGGGGGAACUAGGAGUGGAAGGCUUGGAGGCUGCAAAAAGUGUUUAGAGAACAAGGUCUAUUCGGGCAUUGGCCGACUUUUGAUCAUUAAGCAGUUCUUCUUUCAGGUUCUCUACUUGUGCCCUGAGAUCAACAUUCUCCUUUGCCAAACGAGCUACCUCAUCAUUUGAUGCCAGAACCCCUUGGGCUUGCUGACCUUCCAGGAUAGCAUUCCUAGCCUUCAACCGAAGAAUUUCCUCAAUUGCACUAUUCUGAGCAUUAAUUAGUUGUGAGACGGUUGAUGUACUUCCUACUCCCCUAUUCUUUCCAGGCACUCACAUUCUUCCAAUGUAGUGUGUGAGAAAGUCUGCUUCUUAGUCCCCACCUUGCCUUGCCCCAAUGGAACCUUAAAGAAAUUAAACACUCUUGUAAGAAAAAACCCAUAGGGAAGGCCAUGAUUGCCAUCUUUGAAGGUGGCUACCUUUUGCAUGUGCUCAAUCAUAAUAGCAGACAAGUUUACAGGGUUAAAACUAUCCAGUUGCUCCAUCAAGAACAUGUUAAACUUAGAGGUCAUGGACCUCCUCUCAGCUCGAGGCAAUAGAACUUUGUUGAUCAAUUCAAAAAGUAGCUGAUAGACAGGGAGUAACGCGUUCUUAUGGAUCUGGUCCCCCUUCUAGUUUGCAUUGUCCUUUACCACGACAUUUAUGAAGUUAAACUGACAAACAUCCUUUACACUGGACACAUCGGUUGUAGGAACUUUAAGAAUUUUACUAAGUAGCUUUACAUCAAACACUAUAUCCACUCCAUUCACCAAAGCACAGAUGUGGUCGGUCUCAAUGGGAAAAAGGCUAGCAAAGAAGCUUUGCACCUCAUUCUCAUAAGCGUUAGGGCCAUCUAUUUGAAAUAGAUGCCCCAUCGUUAAAACUCAACCAUUUCAAGAAUUUGUCGCAUGCCAGCCAUCUCAGAGAUUGUGGGGUCAACACGACCCAACAGAACCUUUUGGUGCCUCAGGCGUUCUGAGCCAAGACUGACUUCACUCUUUAACCUCUUCACAGAACCAGGUUCCUGAACAAUUUCAGACUUGCAUUUUCCUAACUUCUUACCACUUAAUUUUCCUUUUCUCUUGGAUUUGACUAGCACAUACUCAUGAGACAUCGAGAAAUCACUCAGAACCUCCUUCAAUUUGGAGCUAGAAGGUGACCGCUUUUCUAUUGAAGUAGGCUUUAUCUUUUUCUGAGACCGUCUAACCAGAGAACCAUGUUCAUAUAGUGUUUCUUCUUCCACCUCUACUACAGGGAUCGCCUCAUUACUUACGGGUACACUGUCUUUCACCAACUUUCUCCCUUUCUUCUUACUACUUUUUCUGCUCUUUUGAAGGGCAGAAUUGUAGGACAUCUUAGCUUGAAGCCUGGUAGUAGGUCGUUUGGUUUCAGACUCAGGAGUGCACACAACCCUCCUCUUAACUAUGAACGCAUCAAGAGCCAAGUUAUCUAGGUCCCCCUCAUCACUGGACCUCAUUUCAGGUUCUUGCACUUCCAAGGGCACAACAACGAAUGCAGGAACAGAACUAUCCUGGGAAUGAGAGCCCUGACCUGGGUCCUCCGGAAAGGGAUCAGGUUCAUCAUGUAAGGGCCCAGUAGUAUCUGCUAGUGCAUCGCCUUCAACAGUUACAAUGGACCCUUCGUCCCCCAUACCAUGUACCUCAUUUUUCUAAGAGAUAAUCUCAUGCAGUACACCAUCAGCAGACACCAAAAAGACGGUUAAAACAUUCUCUUCCUCAAUUGGUACUACUGCUACCACAGAAUCGGUAGCAACGAUGGCGGAACUCUCUGUGACCUCAGAGUUUUGACCUUGUUCUCCACUUGGUCAUUGACUAGUGGGAACAUCAGAAGAUGGAAAGGACAGAGCAACAAUUUUAGGGGUUUCUGAAAUAGAGAGAGACUGGAAAUCUGGGUGAUGUACGAUUUUAGCGGGAAGAUAAGAGCGGGUAAGGAAGGGUCAGUAGGAGCGGAAGUUUCCAUAGGUUUAUCAGUAGUAGGUACGAUUGAGGCAGGGAGGUCGUAGUUUGUCUCAGCCAUUGGAAAAAUGGUGGGAAGAUGCUUUUGGGAAAUUCUAAUAGAGGACUUAUGGUUAGGGAGAACAGAAAAGGGUUUUUAUAAGGAGAGGAUAAUUAUAAAGAGAGAGGAAUAGGCAUCGGUCCUGAAACGGCGGUUGGGCGCGGAGAAGUGCAACGUUUCAAAGGGAGAUGGAACAAUUUUAAGUGAAGAGACGUGACAAUAGGAUCUAAAAAGUUGAAUGACAUGGCAGUUAUGUUUUGUACCCUUUUUAAGACGUAUAUUAAAGGAUGCACAGAACUAAUAACCUUUGGUACAAGAACCAGGUUCUUAACCUUUUAUUUGAAAGAAUCAAUCCUCUUUUAUCAUUCAUGCACUGCAUCUACGACUUCUAUACUCAUCAUGCGUGUUUAUCUGCAACAGUAUUAAAGUGAGUUAGACAUGGCCAGAAAACACUUUUAGCCAGUUAUUUCUUGAAGGUGAUUUUCAUAGCCAGAUAAAGAGGAAUCAGGUUCUCAAUUGGGAUUUAAAAGUCCCAACUUCACUUUGUUUCUUUCAAAUUGUUCCCUACUUAAUGCCUUGGUGAAAAAGUCUACAAUUUGGUCUUUUGUGCUGUAGAACUUCAUACAUAUCAGCCCUUUCUCCAUAUUGUCCCUCAGAAAGUGAUGCCUCACAUCAAUAUGCUUUGUCCUUUUAUGUUGAACUGGAUUAUUGGCCAUGUUGAGUGCACUGGUGUUGUCACAUAGAAGGGGCACACUCUCAGUGAGUACCCCAAAGUCCUCCAAUUGUUGCUUAAUCCAUAAAAGUUGAGCACAUUUGGAUGUUGCGGCUACAUAUUUUGCUUCAGCUGUUGAAAAAGCCACUGAAUUUUUCUUCCUUGUACCCCAAGAGAUAAGACAUGAACCUAGGAAGUGAGCCAUUCCAGAAGUUCUUUUCCUUUCCACAAGAUAACCUGCAUAGUCUGCAUCAGCAUAACCAAUGAGAUUAAAACUAUCACCUGAGGGAUAAUAUAGAACCAGGUCCUGUGUUCCUUUGAAAUAUCUCAGUAUUCUUUUGGUAGCCUUAAAAUGAGAUUCCUUGGGAUUUAAUUGAAACCUUACACAUAGACCCACAUUAAAGACAAUAUCAGGUCUGCUGGCAGUGAGAUAGAGGAGAGACCCAAUAAUGCCUCUAUACAUGGUUUGCUUCAUAGGACAUCCAGUUUCAUCCAUGUCCAGUCGAGUGGCAGUAGAAAUAUGUUUAUCACCUUUAAUGCUUCCAUGUCAAACCUCUUCAAGAGCUCCCUGAUGUAUUUUUGCUGAUAAAUGGAUAUAACCUUUGGGGACUAUUUUACUUGAAGACCUAAGAAGAAGUUCNNNNNNNNNNNNNNNNNNNNNNNNNGAUAUCAUCAACGUAGACCGGAACAAUGAGCAGGUUCCUUCCCUGUUUCUUUAAGAACAAAAUGUUGUCAAUUUUUCCUCUUUUAAAGCCAUUUUCCAAGAGGAAGUUUGACAGCCUUUCAUACCAGGCUCGAGGAGCCUGCUUCAGCCCGUACGAUGUUGUGUCUAGUUUAAAAACAUAUUCAGGGUGUUCAUGACAUUCAAACCCUGUAGGUUGCUUCACAUAGACUUCUUCCUUAAGAAGUCCAUUCAAAAAUGCACUUUUAACAUCCAUUUGGAACAAGGUGAAUUCCUUAUGAGAUGCAAAAGUGAUUAGAAUUCUAAUAGCUUCCAUGCGAGCGACACGAGCAAACAUUUCAUCAUAGUCAAUCCGUUCCUCCUGAUUGUAGCCUUGAACAACUAGCCUGGACUUGUUCCUUGUAGUAAUUCCAUGUUCAUCAAGCUUGUUUCUGAAUACCCACCUGGUUCCUAUAAUAGUUCGAUCUGAGGGUCUGGGUACCAGGUGCCAAACAUUAUUCCUUUCAAACUAAUGUAACUCAUCUUGCAUGGUUGUAAUCCAAUCUGCAUCUUUCAAGGCUUCCUUGACAUUCUUGGAUUCUAUCUAGGAGAGAAAAGCUGAGAAGGAAAGUGAAUUUUUGGCUCUUGACCUGGUUUGUACUCUGGAAUCUAAAGGAGUAAUAAUGUUGUCCAUCGGAUGAGAGCUUUGGUGUCUCCAGUUAGAAGUCUAAGGUUUAUUUUGAGAGGAUGUGGGUGCGUUUGGCUGGUUUUCCUGCGUUCUUCUCUCAGGUGCUAGUGGAUUUCCCUGAACUGCAUCAACCACUCUUUCUUCAGCUUCAGUGGUUGUGAUUGAAGUACUUGGUUCCAUUGGAGAUGAGGCAGUAUUAUCUUCACUUAGCUCUUUUACUUGACUCAUCAUAUCUGCCUUUCUGUUUGUCAUGUCAAUGACUUUACCAUGGACUAGUAAGGGUUCUUCAUCUUGAUCUUCUUCAGCACUCUUCUCACAAGAUGGAUAAGACUCAUCAAAAAUAACAUGAACACUUUCCUCAACACGUUGAGUCCGCUUAUUAUAUAUCUUGUAAGCCUUUCUUUGAGAAGAGUAGCCCAGAAAUAUUCCUUCAUCACUCUUGGCAUUGAAUUUACCAAGCUGAUCCUUUCCAUUGUUGAGAACAUAGCAUUUCCACCCAAAUGUUCUUAGGUGAGUCAGCUUGGGUUUCCUUCCAUUUAACAAUUCAUAGGGGGUUUUGUUCAGAAGUGAUCUGAUCAUGCACAUGUUCACCAAGUAGCAGGCAGUGUUGACAACUUUAUCCCAGAAGUUCUUUGCAAUUCCACUGUCGAUUAGCAUUGUUCUUGACAUCUCUUCCAGAUUUCUGUUCUUCCUUUCUACUACUCUAUUUUGCUGGGGAGUUCUGGGAGCUGAGAAGUUGUGAGUGAUGUCAUUUCCAUUGCAGAACUCAUCAAAUUUGACAUUGUCAAAUUCUGUCCCAUGAUCUGAUCUAAUGCAUGCGACUCUACACUCCAUCUUCACCUGGAUUUUCUUCAUGAAAACCACAAACACCUCAACGGUUUCAUCUAUAGUUCUGAGAAACAGAGUCCAUGCGAAUAUGGAGUAGUCAUCCACUAUCACAAAAAAGUAUCUUUUUCCUCCUUUACUUUGCACUCUUAUAGGGCCACAUAGAUCUAUAUGCAGAAGCUCUAGUAGCUUUGAGGUGCUCAUAUCUCUUUUAGACUUAAAGUAGGACUUCACAUGUUUUCCUCUAGCACAGGCAUCACAGACCUUUUGCAUCUUGAAUUUUGACAUAGGUAGACCAUGGACCAGGUCCUUCUGAAUUAGUUUGUUCAGAAGAGAAAAACCUGUGUGGCCCAGUCUUCUGUGCCAUAGUUCAGCAUCAUCAUUAACAGCUUUCAGACAACUCAGAUCACCACUUUGUAAGGACACGAAAUCGGCAACAUAGAUGUUCUUGUAUCUUUUGGCCACAAGUACCACUUCACCAGUUACUAGAUCAGUGACUGUACAUAUUUUGGACAAGAAUUCCAUAUUGUUUCCUUUAUCACAGAUUUGAGAGACACUCAAGAGAUUGUACUUAAGGCCAUUGACAUAAUACACGUUUUCAAUAGAAUGAGUGAGUGACUUCCCGACAUUUCCAACUCCAAGAAUGUACCCCUUUUUCCCAUUGCCAAAGGAUACGUUCCCUCCUUGCAGGGCUUUUAGUGAAAGAAAGUCCAUGGUGUUCCCAGUCAUGUGCUUUGAACACCCACUAUCCAUGAACCAUUGUUGACCGCUUCCUUUCAUUGUUCCCUGCACAAGGAGAUUAAGAGUUAAUUUUAGGAACCCAAGAGAGUUUGGGUCCGUUAUAGUAGGUAAAAGGAUGAAUAAGAGCUCUCUUUGUCCAUGCAGGUAAUGUGCAUUUUUUGUGAGUGGAACCUGGUCCCUCUUUUGUAGUCAUCUUUUCAGCAAACACGUUGUUUUUAUGAAUAGAUUGAUCCCUGGCCAGGCAAUUUUCUUUGAAGUGCCCAUUGUUACCACAUUAGGUACAUGUCCAGUUACCAGGGACAGUGACGUACUUGCUGUGAGGGGUGUAAUGAGUUUUCUCCCUUUGGAACCCUAUUCCCUGCCUGUUUCCACCAUUAUUAGUGUGCAUGGCAGUGAUAGAUUCUGAGGACCAGGUCCACUUUAUGAAUUUUUCAAGAUCAUUUUUUACUCUUUCCAGAUCAGUUUGGAGGUUCUUGUUUUUUUUCAAUUUUAGCACACAUCCUAGUUCUCACAACUUUCAACUCAGUUUCAAGCCUAAUGAGUUCCACUCUAGCUAUCUCUUUUCCUUUUCCAGAAUUUUUAGGUUUUGACUUAGUCCCUGGUCUCUAUAUUAAUUCCCUUAGGUCUGCAAUUAUUGCCAUGAAAUCACUUCUUUUUUCUAUGAAUUGUUUAAUAAUUUCCUUAUGGUCAAUGACUACAGCCACUAAGUCAUCUCUAGUUUGUUCAGCUUCUCCUGGUUCUAUGGUCAAGGACCCCUUAUCCUCCACAAGACUAUGAUAGACAUCAAUCAAUACAUUGGCUAAAGACAUGAGUUUCUUAGGAGAGUAGGAUUUCAGAUUUCUCUGAACAUCCCCGAAAUUUACCUCCUUGUUGUCAUCGUCUUCAUCAUCAUCUGAUUGGGCCAUCAAAGCAAAGAUUGAGUCAUAUCCAUUUUCCUCACCUCCAACUGCCAUCAUGGAACUAUCACUAGCAUCAGUUUUAUCUUCAGACUCACCAAAGGAAUCUCCCCAUGCUGCAAGAGCAUAUUUUAUCACAUUGUCAGCAAAUCUUUUUCUUUUGAAGUUCUUGAAAGGAACUGGGUUCCUCUUAACUACUUUUUCAGAGUUGUUCUUGGAGAAUUCUUGCUUCAAAAGAGGAUAGUCUCUGAUGAAGUGUCCAGUCUUUCCACACUUAUGACAGAGAUCAUAGUUUUUUAGUUUGCUAGAGCUGCCCCUUUUUAGUAUUUCACCAUUUCUUCUAACCAUCUUCUGAAACCUUUUGGUCAAGUAAGCUAUGUCAAUGUCUUCAUCACUUGAGUCAUUGCUAUCAGCUUUGAGUACCAGAUUCUUUUCUUUCUUUGGUUCUCUUCUUUCACUGUCUAUCUUUUUUAUCAUCUCGUAGGUCUUCAGAUUUCCAAUAAGCUCUUCUGUGGUCAGCUCUUGCAAAUCCUUUGAUUAAGAAAUAUCAUUCACCUUGCUUUCCAAUGGGCUAGGUAGAAUACUGAGGAUUUUCCUCACUAGCUUGUUUCUAGGAUUCGUUUCGCCAAGUGAGUGUAACUCAUUUAUGAUGGAAGUGAAUCUUGUGUGCAUAUCUUGAAUAGAUUCAUCGUCAUUCAUCCUGAAGAGUUCAUACUCGGUAGUAAGCAUAUCGAUCUUAGACUGCUUUACUUGGGUAGUUCCCUCAUGAGCUGUUUGCAAAGCUUCCCAUAUCUCCUUGAAAGUGUUGCAGGUAGAGAUUCUAUUGUAUUCUUCAGGUCCUAUUCCAUAUACUAGAAUCUUUUUGGCACGAAAAUUCUUCUCCGCAAAUUUCUUGUCUAUGUCAGUGUAUUCUUUACUGUUUUUUGCCAUUGAAAAUGGAAGUUCUUCCAUUACCUUUGUUGGAAUAUAAGGGCCAUCGCAUAUGAUAUCCCAUAACUCAGAAUCAUCAGCCAUCAUGAAAUCAUGCAUUCUUGUUUUCCACCACCCAUAGUAUUGUCCAUUGAACCUGGGUGGUUGGUAUGUAGAUGGACCUUCUUAAAAAUUUGGUGGAGCAGCCAUAAGGAUCCUUCCUAGGUGUUAGCCUGAUUGGAGGAACCCGCUCUGAUACCAAUUGUUAGUUUGUAUGAGUCCACCAAAUAGUAGAGUACCUAGUCCUCUACGAGAUUCUACUGAGAAUGCUAUUAAACUGUAAGUAAAUGAGACACGGGAUUUUUACGUGGAAAAAUCCCACACAAGAGGACCAAAAACCACGACCUACACCAGUAAGCUUUCAACUUCACUAACUUGUAAAAACCACAAGCCAUUUUGUAAUGACUCCAUUACAAAGAAUUCAAUUCAACUAACUUGUGGUACUUUUACCACAAGCCACCUUGUGACUCCCUAGUUACAAAGACUUUUACUAACUUGUGAUUCUCUCACCACAAGCCACUUUGUCACUCUACAGUUACAAAGACACUAAACCUAGUCACAACAUAAACUCAAGGAGUUUACGGAUUUUACAAGAGAGUUCCUAAUCAACGCUUCUAGCUAAGCAAUUUAGGAGAUACAAUAAGUACAAUCACAAAUUUACAACUCAACUAAGGACAACAACAUGCUAACUUUAGGAACUGAUCCGUAGUUGCGUUCAACUUUGUUCUUCAAGCUCGUGAGGAUUGAUUUCUUUAUUUUUGCAAAAGGCUUGAAUGAGAAACUGAAACAUUCAAGUAAUGUUUCAAUAUAAACUCAUGUUGGUACACCUUGAUCACAUCACUUGAAAUGAUGUGAGCACUUUAGUUGGUCAAAAAGUGAGUGGGCGCUGGAAACCGUGCAGUGCGGCAGAAACAGUGAAGGCAGUCACUUCAUUUCCAGUUGUGUCCAACUGACUUUGUGCUGCUAUGAGGGAACCAUAAGGUUAGCAUGUCCUUGUUUAGUUUCCUAGCUCCUGAAGUUGUAGUAGUUCACAUUUAGUUGGAAUCCGUUAAAUGCAGUGUAGUCCAAAUGAGUCAGGUUCUGUAUCUGGUCCUUGACAUUAAGUUUGUUAGAUCAUCAAAACACAAGGCAAAGAUAUUGAAAACCUAUCAUCCUCCAUAAGGAGCACUAUGCCGAAGUGAACACAUCUGGCCUGAUAUAGAGCCCACAUUCAUAUUUCAAAUCCAUCCAUGGACCUCAAGCCGAUUCUGAUCCUACCGCAUUGGGACAAUAACCUUUCGAGGAUACACAACAACCCUUCUUCCCAUGACACACAAGAACAGCUGUCGAUUCAGAAUAAACUUCCACAAUCCACAACCAAACGAACCGAGCGCCCUUCAGGCAUAAAUUCUCACAUGAACGAUAGCACCGCAAUCUCCAUACUUGGUUUGAAUCCUUCACUUAAUCAAGUGAAUACAUGUUAUACUAAUACAAUCUUCCCCUGGGAUAGGAUCCCAUGACCUUAUGCGUUGGUUAACAAGUCUGCACCUCCAUACCAUCGGCCAUACUAAUGUUGUAAAGUGAAUCAAAGAUCCGCAAAUCAUUACACGAAGCCUCUGAUGCAUGACACCAAUCUCAAGUGAUACUGAAGACAAUACCCGUUCACUCUAAUCAUGUGAAUACCUUUUCCGUGUUUGUCCGAGAUGGUGACAUUCUUGUCAACACCCAACUGCAACCUUGAUCCUCAACUUCCAAAUCUCAUGCUACUUGAUGCACUUAAUCAUUCCAAUGCGCAAGAGUACAAGAAUUACAUCAUAACUCCUCAACUAGUAAUAGGGUAAACACUUCAUCAUAUAGAAACCUUUACUCAACUCAUUUCAAGAGAACCAUGAAAACACGUGAUUGAAUUCUCAUAUCCGCAGAAAAUACCGAUCUCUAGUAGUAGGCUAAACUACCAUAACUCUUCCGAGAUACAUCUACACAUAAAAUGCCAUAAUACUUGAAUGCCUCCAAAUAAAAUCAAUUACGGUGGUUAUCAAGCCUCGCACGUACCACCACAAAGAACAUGUGUAACUCAUCACGCUGGAGGAACUAAUCAUUGCCACCAUCAUGUUAAUCCAAACAUUGCUAACCGAUCCAACUUCUUCUAAUUUACUCUAGACUUGCCUUAGGAAUAAUAAUAGCUUCAUCCAAAACCUCGCGAACCCAAAUCCGCACUCAUCCUAAGUGACCUUAUAUCACGAGGCCAUGCUGUCUCAAAUCUCACGAACCAUCUCAUACCCUCCUUGCGCGCAUAUUCACAUCCUCAACUGGUACACCCAUUCUGAAAAUUUCUCUACGAAUGUGAAGUCAUUUUCCCUCAUUCAUCCAAAUGCUACACUGCAAGCCGAAGAUAACAUAGAACACUUCAAGCCCCUUUUUCAUAAUCCACUAUAAAUGCUCGAUUCUUAACCAUACUGCUGGCAUGAAAUCCUUAGGCACCGCAUUUUAACUUUUGAAUUCACUAGGACCGCUGCUGAGAGUCACCCACUCUGACUUGGUCCCGAAUAUAAUUAACUGCAAGGAUCUAUUAGCACAUAAGUCGAUAAGGCCCAAUAUUGCACACAUUCCUCAAUCCUUUGCUCAAAUCACUGUUGAUGUUUCCUUUCCCUUAGUCGUAAUAACCCACUAAUACACCAAUGACCAGAAACCUCACAAGUAGAUAACUAUGCAAUCCAAUCGUAGGAAGCGUGCCUCUCCCACUUAGCUCGAAGCUACCAUUGCCUAACUCUGGAAACCACCAAGGUUCAUUCUUCCUCUCUGACAUGACCUCGCACCAUCGACCUGCCAAAUUCCUCGAAACCUUCCAAUGAUACUGCAUCGAGCACAAUCACUACGAAUAAACCAUCUCGGGUCUGUGCCCAUUCACCAUCUGUACAAACCUGCUCAUUCCCCAUUGACAUUAACUAAAGGUGCGACGACACAUUCGAAACCAAAGUCAUGUUGUAUCCUUCUUCAUAUCAAGCAACUCAUUCCUGUCGUAUCCAAUAUCCCUCGUAUAAUAGCUGAUAUUCCAAUUAAGUCCGUAGACCUAAUCAUUGUCCACCAUGAAUCCCAAAUCUCUUUACACUUUUCUCAAUGCGUAUUCAUCCUAUCACAGAACCCAUAUGCUACUCCUCCGCUCUCCCACUUUGGUCAAAUAGAUCCUUUAAGCAACUACUCGACUCAUGCUUCUCACACAUGGCCUUCUAGAAGUUUAGCUACCCAAGACACCUCCCAUAUGUCCUUCCUUAUUAUUCGCUGCUUAGUUGUUUCCUAAAUUAAAAUCUAUCUCUGUAGUACUUGAACCAAUAGAUUUCUACUAACUUUAGACCUUCCGAAGAUCAUCUUUCUUGAGCCGUCAAUAUUAGAAAUAUCCAUCUGAUUCCGAAAUUGCUACACUCCAUUAUCUCUUACACCCGCUUCUCCUAUAACAUUUCACGAUACCCUGCCCCGAAGGUAAAUUGAUGAAGACCAUAACACUGGCAAACUUAAUAUAUUCAAACAAGGUCAAUGACACCUUAGUACAAAUGAGAAUUUCACCACGCUCGAAAAUACCAAGUCUUGUUGCUCUAACAACCCAAACCUGAACAUUCAUAACUAUUGUGAUCCAUAAGUAAGCACCCUACAGUUGUGCCAACAUUACACAGUAACAACGCACGAAUCAUCAUAACAAUCAGUGCCCAACUUCAACACUAUAGGAAUUACUGAUAUUGAGCUGAAAUGACAGAACAACCUUUCGCAAGGCGAUGACAAUAGCCCGAUCAAUUGCGCAGGGAGAAACAUCCUGCACCACAUCCGUAGUACCAUUACAAUUCCUCGAUUUCCAAUUGAUAGCAAGUGCUUCACGUCACAUAAGAUUGAAUAGGAAGGAAAUAAGGGCAUAAGUCUCAAAGGAAUUAAAUCGCAUGAUAAGGAAUCAAGAAAGGAAGUUCUCCUAAUAGGCUCAUAGCCUCUUGAAGAUAAGUAUAGACAUCUCUAUACCGAUCCACAAGACUCUACUAGACUUGCUCAUGACUCAUAAGACCUAAGCAAACCUUGUGCUCUAAUACCAUGUUGUCACGACCCAAAAUCCAUUUAAAGGUCGAGAUGGCACCGGACACCACUGUCAGGCAAGCCAACACUAAAUAGUUAAUUAAAUUCUCAUUUUAAUAUUUUUGAAAUCAUAAAUUUUCUUCAAUUUAACUAGUAAAAGAUGAACUUUACAGAAUAAAUAAUAAUGUUCUCCACUUUCAAUACUGAAUAUCCCAUAAUCAUCCCAGAACUCGGUGUCACAAGUGCAUGAGCAUUUACUAGGAAAUAAAAUAAACUACAGUAUUAGUCUGCAAUACAAAUUUGGACAGGAAAGAAAAAUACAAACAUUCUGAAGGAGACUAUGCUGGCUGCAGACCGUAACAUGAAAUACAGCUCACCUAAGUCCCCGCAUCAACCACGUUGCUGCGCCCACAAGGCCACUGAACAUACAUGUACCUGUACAACAAAGUGUACGACAAGUGUAGUAUGAGUACGAAAAUAAUGCGUACCCAGUAAGUAUCCAUUCCAACCUCGAAGAAGUAGUGACGAGAGGUCGACUUUGACACUUACUAGUGGUCCAAUAAUAUCAGGUACAGUAAAGAGGUAACUAAAUGUGAGGUUGAUUAAAUAAAUUAAUUAAAUAAGCAUAAAUAUACGAGAUACAAAUUCCCCUCUUUACAAUGAACUCCAGCUUCCCAAUUGAAAUUCCCUCCUUAACUGGAGCACACAUUAGGGUGUAGUGGACCUCAUCAAGUAGAUUAUCAUAAAUUCAAAUCCAAAAAUCUCACGGAUACACCGACUGCUUGCCAAAUAUUACGCACAAUUCCAUGAGGAUAUGAUAUAUGAAAUGCCAUGGCAUACGGACCGAUCCAACAUAAAAUUAAAUUGUGCACUGUCGACGGUCGAAUGACAUGAACCAUAGAUGCAUCUAUUAACCUGCCGAGGCAAACAGCCCACUCCCAUGAGAGUGUUGUACAUAGAUCCUGCCGAGGCGAGUGACCCGAUCCUAUACGACUGAAAUACAUAAUCCUGCCGAGGCGAACGACCCGAUCCCAUAAGAGUAGUAGGAAUUCACCCCGCUCGCGGAAUAUAAUUGUGACGCGGUUACACAUAGAUUUCUUAAGUUAUUAUAGUAUUCCUCAAUUCUUUUCAAAAUACGAUGUUUAAAGAAAAACUUUUAUUUUCCCAAUUUUUCCUCAAUUUUAACUCCUUUCAGAAAAUUUAAUAAGCAAACUCAAUCUCGCUUCUUCUCAAGGCAAGCAAUAAACAUAAAUUAAUAGCAAUAUCAACAAGGCAUGAUGUAAGCCUAAAACUACCCGGAUAUAGGCAUAUCUAGUAGCUACGUACGAACUCUUGUCACCUCGUGCGUACGUAGCCCCCACAAAUAGAAUCACACAAUAAUUUAGUUCACUUAUGGGGGUUAAUUCCCUCUAACAAGGCUAAAAAUGAGACUUACCUCACUCCGAAGUUCCAUAGCCCGCUCCCAAGCCUUUCCAACAAUUCAAACGGAUGCCCAACACUCCAAAGAUAGUCAAUAAUUGUGCAAACCCAUAAAUAUAUACUCAAAUACUCAUUAAAAUCCUAUUUACAACAAUUCCAAACUCCGGUUGAAAAGUCGAUAAAAUCACCAACAGGCCCACGUGCCCGAAUUCCGAAAAUUUUUGAAGAUAAACUUUACCCAUAACCCCACGAACUCAAAUAUAUGAUUUAUUCUCAAUUCCAUGCCCAAUUUCGUGGUCAAAAUCCAAAAAUAUCAAAUUCUAGGAAUUCUACCAAAACCCCACAAUUUCUACUAAUUUCCAUGUUAAAUCCAUAUACAAACCAUGUAUUUAACUUAUAAUAAGCGGGAAUCACUUAUCUUGACAUAGAUGAUGAAAAUCUCCCUUUCAAGAGCUCCAAAUCGCCCAACCAAAUGGAAAAUGGAGGAAAAAUGGCUAAAUCUCGUCUUUAAAACAAUCUACCCAGGCCAGGCCUUUCUUCCCGUCAAAGUCUCGCGUUCGCGAAGACUGCAAAUACCACUACUUCGCGUUCUCGGUUGUAGCUCCGCAUUUGCAAAGGUUAAACUACUCCAGGCUCCCACUCUGCUUUCUUAUUCGCUUUCGCGACCCUUGAGUCGCGUUCUCAUAAGCUUCCGUAGGCAACCCUCCGCGUUCGCGACCUAUGCCUCGCAUUUGCAAAGGCCAAAAACCCAGCUGCCUCAACAGUCUAAAACCAUCGGAAAUGAUUCGGAACUAUCCCGAAACAUACUCAAGGCCCUUGGGACCCCGUCCAAUCACACAAGCCAGUCCCACAACAUAACACGACCCAACUUGAGGCCUCAAAUCACAUCAAACAACAUCAAUAUCAUGAAUCACACCCCAGUUCAAGCUUAAUGAACUUUAGAACUUCAAACUUCUACAUUCGAUGCCAAAACCUACAAAUCACGUCCGAUUGACCUCAAAUUUUAUGCACAAGUCUUAUUCGACAUUACGGACCUACUCCAACUUUCGGAAUCAGAAUCCAACCCCAAUAUCAAAAGUGCACUUCCAGUCAAACUUCUAAAAACCCUUCAAGUUUAUAACUUUUACCAAAUAACCCCGAAAUGACCUACGGACCUUUGAAUCCACUUUUGGAUACGCUCCCAAUACCAAAAUCACCAUACGAAGCUAUUCUCAGACUCAGAAUCCCAAAUGGACAUCAAUAAAAUAAAAUACACCUCCACCCCAAAUUCAUGAAACUCUUCCAAAAUACUAACUUCCACAAUAGGCGUCGAAACAUUGUCGGGUCAUCUAAAACCUGAUCAGAAUAUAUGCCCAAGUCCAAAAUCAUCAUACAAACCUGUUGGAACCUUCAAAUCCAAAUUCUGAGGUCGUUUACUCAAAAAUUCAAUCUUAGUCAAUUCUUCCAACUUAAAGCUUCUGAAAUGAGAAUUCUUAUUCCAAAUCAACUCUGAACUUCAGAAAUUCCAGUUCCGACCACAAGUCAUAAUACCUGAAGUGAAGUUGUUCAAGGCCUCAAAGCACCGAACGAUGCAUUAGAGUUCAAAAUGACCGGUCGGAUCGUUACAAUAUCCCUCCAAAUCUCCUUCAGCCAAUAUGCAAACUAGCUCAUCAUCAUUCAGUCAACAUGCAAACUAGCUCGUCAUCACUCAGUUCAUGCAAUCCCAUUAAUAUAGUGUUUCUCUUCAAGCUUUCAAAUGUGAUAAACCCUAUACUUACAUUGAUAGGUUAUAUGUGUAUCCCUGUUAUGUUAAGAUGAUCUAACAAACUUACUGUUAAGAACCAGAUAAGGAACCUGAUACACAUCUCAAGAACUUAAGAUCAACAAGUCUGCAGUUGGGACACGGUUCAACACUUUAGAGUCAAAGGAACAACAGAGGGAAUAGAUAGCUGCCAGUUUUUGUGGUGACUGUACAAGUCAUAUAUUCAUAGUUGUAAAGUUGCUGCCUGCACACGCUACAGUAUAAAAAUAGUGCAAUAGCCAACUUUAUGGGGAAUGCCCUUAACCUAGGUUGCUUGCAUCAUUUAAUGUCACAACUGAAUUAGAAAUAUCAUGCAAGGUAAAAAUAAAUCACUUGCACAUUCAAAAAACUCAUCAACUAUUCUCUCAAGUUUGUGUCAAUCUUGCAAGUGAUUCUCAGCGGCAUCAAAAACGAAGAACAACAUAACUCAAGACUUGUUCCAUAUAUUGAAGUUAUUACAUGUCCUUAGUUGUAUUGUACCUUUGUUAAAACACUCUACUUGUAAUUCUUACUUAGCUUAGUUCGAAGCAUUGUGUCUUGUGUUUGUGUCUUGGCUAGUCGAGGUGCAAAGUCUUUGUAAUAGAGUUAUUACAAAGUUUCUUGUAGUAGAGAGUUACAAGUUAGUAAGGGACUAAGAGGUUAAUUCCUAGGUUUAAAGUCUUUGUAAUAGAGUUAUUACCAAAUGGCUUGUAAUAGAGUGUUAUAAGUUAGUGAGGGAUUAAGAGGUUACUUCCUAGGUUUCAAUAGGUUGCAAUAUAAAGUUGCUCAGUAGUGAAGUUAAAAUCCUACAAGGGUAGGUCAUUGUUUUUGAUCUCGUGAGCUAGGAGUUUUUCACGUAAAAAUCCAUUGUACCAUUUACUUAUUGCAGUGUGUGUGUGUUCUGUAGGAACUAAUAGAGAACCUGGUUCUUUGUAGAGUUUUGUGGACCUUUAAAUUCUAUCAAUUAGUAUCAGAGCAGGUUCUUUCUAUCAGGUUAACACCUAGAAAGGAUCCUCAUGGUUGCUCCACCAAACUUCGAAGAAGCCAGUCUACCUAUAGAUCACCUAGGUUCAAUGGACAAUACUACGGUUGGUGGAAGACAAGGAUGCAUGACAUCAUCAUGGAUAAAGAUUCAGAGCACUAGGAAGUUAUCUGCAAUGGACCUUUCGUUCCUACAAAGACCAUUAGAGAUCCCGUAGUGACAGUUCCUAAAACUAGAAGGAGUAUAAUGAUACUGAUCGCAAGGCUAUUGAAAAGAACUUUCGAGCUAAGAAAAUUCUCGUAUAUGGGAUUGGACCAUAUGAGUACAAUAAGAUUUUAGCAUGUCAAUUAGCUAAGGAGAUCUGGGAAGCUUUCCAAACAGCUCAUGAAGGGACAACACAUGUAAAGAAGUCCAAGAUUGAUAUGCUGACCACAGAGUAUCAGCUUUUCAUAAUGAAGGACGAUGAAUCCAUUUAGGAUAUGCACACUCGCUUCACAUCUAUCAUCAAUGAGCUUUACUCAUUAGAAAAGAUCAUCCCUAGGAACAAACUCAUCAGGAAGAUACUUAGUAUAUUACGUGGUUCCUAGGAAAGCAAGGUAAAUGCUAUCACAGAAGCAAAAGAUUUGUAGAAGCUGCCAUGGACGAACUUGUUGGCAAUUUAAAGACUUAUUAAAUGAAGAAGAAGAAGGAAAAUGAGAGAAGAGAUAAGCAAAGGUAGAAGAAUGUAGUCCCCAAGACAGACAGCAAUGACUCAGGUGGUGAGGAUACUGAUAUGGCCUACCUGACAAAAAGGUUUUAGAAAAUGGCUCGCAGAAAUACAGGCAUUCCAAAAAGAGGCAGCUCCAGCAAGCCAAAAGGUUAUGACCUAUGUCAUAAGUGCAGCAAGCCAGGACACUUCAUCAAGGAUUGCCCUCUUCUCAAGCAAGAUCAAUACAAACACAACACUGAAAAAGUAGCAAACAGGAACCAGGUUCCUAACAAAAGAUUCAAAAGAAAAGACACUGCUGACAACGUUGUGAAACAGAAUCUUGCUACAUGGGAAGACUCUUCCAGCGAAUUCGAAGAAGAUGAUGGGCAAGGUGACAAUUCAAUGAUGGCAGUAGAAAGUGAAGCAGGUGAUUAUGAUUCCAUCUUUGCUCUAAUGGCUAAAUUAGAAAAUAACGAUAAAGAUGAGAUAAACCUUCUUGCUAAUGUUUUAAUUGAUGUAUAUCACAAUCUCAUCAGUGAUAAAAAUAUGGUAAUCACGGAACUAGGAGAAACAGAACAUGAGAGAGAUAAUCUAGUGGUGGUUAUAGAUGGUCUAAAAUAGACCAUUGAGAGCUUAAAAGGGGAAAUGACAUCUUGACUGAGAGAAUUGCAAACAUAGAGCAUGAUAGAGAUGACCUAUUAGUAAUAGUUGUAGACCUAAAGGAAACAAAUAAGGAACUAAGAAGGGAAAAUAGGCUUGUGAACACUCAAAAGGGAAAGGAAGUCGCAAGUGAGGCACACCUUAGGCUUGAAACUGAGCUAAAAUCAGUGAAAUAUAGUAUGUGUGAUGAGCUUGAGAAAAACAGACAACUUCAGGUGGAUCUAGGCAGAGUGAAGAGUGACUUAGAAAAAUCGCUUAAGUGGACCUGGUCCUCUGAUGCAAUCACUACUAUGUAUACGAACGAUGGGGCAAACAUGCAGGGAAUCGGGUUCCAAAGGAAAAAGAUUCAUUGUAACCCUCAUAGCAAGUACGUUACUGUACCUGAUAACGGGCGAUGCACUUACUGUGGCCAAUCUCAACAGAAAAAUAAAGUUUUUAUUGAAAAAGUAACUACUGCUAGGGAACCUGGUCGCUCAUAUAAAAAACGUUUAUAUGUCUUCUUGAGCCAAAAUAGCCCUCAUUCACCCCUUUCCACAUUACAAGGGACCUAAACUUAUUUAGGUUCCUAAGUCUAACCCUUGAUUUUCUUGUGCAGGGAAUAGUGAAAGGGAGCAGUCAACAAUAGUACAUGGAUAACGACUGCUCGAAGCAUAUGAUUGGAAGUACAAAUAAUUUUUUUUCACUGAAGGACCUGCAGGAAGGGAGUGUAUACUGUGGAAAUGGCAAGAAGGGAUACAUUCUAGGAGUUGGAAGGAUCGAGAAGUCUUUUUCCCACUCUAUUGAAAAUGUGUACUACGUGAAGGGGUUGAAGUAUAGCUUGCUGAGUAUUUUCCAAAUCUGUGACAAGGGUAACAAAGUGGAAUUUGUAUCUAAAAUAUGCACAGUCACAAAUCUUGUGACUGGUAAAGUGAUGUUAGUAGCCAAAAGAUACAAAAACAUGUAUGUUGCUAACUUUGAGUCCUUGCAAAAUGGGGAUUUUAGCUGUCUGAUUGUUGUUGAUGAUAAUGUCGAGCUAUGGCACAGAAGGCUGGGUCAUGCAAGUUUCACGCUACUGAACAAAUUGGUCAAGAAGGACCUAGUUCGUGGUCUACCCAAGUCAAGAUUCAGGGAUCACGUGGUGUGUGAUGCAUGUGUAAAAGGAAAGCCAGGCAGAUCCUCUUUCAAGCCCAAAAAGGAAGUUAGUAUCUUAAGGCCACUUGAUCUCCUCCAUAUUGAUCUAUGUGGACCUAUGAAGGUGACCAGUAGAGGUGAAAAGAGAUACAUAUUUUUAUCAUUAUGGAUGACUACUCUAGAUUUACAUGGACCUUUCUCCUCAAAACUAAAGACGGGACUCCAGCCGACAUAGAGGAACUUGGUCCCUCAAUCACAAUAUCUGAAGUAGUAAACAGAGUUGUAGAUGUUGUACAUGUAAUUCCAGCUGCUGAGGUGAGGAACAGGACACAUGGAUCAAAUUCAGAAGAACCUGGAUCCUCUCUUAAUAAGAUUCAAGUGUCCAACUAGAAACACAAGAGCUCACACCCUCUUCAAAACAUAAUCACUCCUCUUGAUUCAGGAAUUCAAACAGGAUCAAAGACGAGAAGAGCUCUGUCAAUUUGAGAGGAAUAGUGUGUGGAACCUGGUUCCAUGACCUGCUGACAGAACUGUUAUCGGAACCAGGUGGAUAUUCAGAAACAAACUUGAUGUGUUUGGAAGCACAUUUUUAAACUCGACAAGGCUUUGUAUGAGUUAAAGCAGGCUCCCCAUGCUUGGUAUGAAAGAUUGUCAAAAUUCCUUUUAGAAAAUUGCUUUACAAGAGGGAAAAUUGAGAACACUCUUUUUAUGAAGAAACAUGGAAGGAACCUGCUCAUUGUGUAGAUCUAUGUUGAUGACAUCAUCUUUGGAGCAACAGUUGACUCUCUAUGUGAAGAAUUUGCAAAACUCAUGGGAAAUGAGUUAGAAAUGAGUAUGAUGUGGGAACUGAAUUUCUUCUUAAAUUUACAAGUGAAGCAAACUCCCAAGGGAACAAUGAUAAGAUAAUAGAAGUACAUCAAGAAGCUGCUAAAGAGAUUUGACAUGGAGACAUCAAAAAUCAUUGACACUGUCAUCGCCACAGCUACUCGUCUAGACACGGAUGAACCGAUUCCCCUAUAAAUCAGACCAUGUAUAGAGGUAUCAUAGGGUCAUUUCUAUAGCAGACCAAUUAUUGUUUUUAAUGUGGGUAUUUGUGCUGGGUUUCAAUCCAAUCCAAAGGAAUCUCAUCUGAAGCUGCCAAGAGAAUCCUAAGAUAUCUCAAAGGGAUGCGGGACCUGGUUCUCUACUAUCCCUCAGGAGAUAACCUUGACUUAAUAGGGUAUGUUGAUGCUGACUAUGUUAGGUAUCUGGUGGAUAGGAAAAGCACUUCUGGCAUAGCACUUUUUCUGGGUUCAUGUCUGAUUUCAUGGGGUACAAGAAACAAAACUCAGUGGACUUCUCUACCGCAGAAGCUGAAUAUGUGGUUGUUGCAUCUUGUUAGGCUCAACUAUUACGGAUUAAACAACAGCUGGAAGAUUUUGGUCUGUUCUUUGAGUGUGUGCCCUUACUAUGUGACAAUACUAGUGCACUCAACAUGGCCAAGAAUCCAGUUCAACAUAAUAGAACAAAGCAUAUUGAUGUACAACAUCACUUUCUCAAAGACAAUAUUGAGAAAGGGCACAUAUGCAUGAAGUUCUGCAGUACAAAAGAUCAAAUUGCAGAUAUAUUUACCAAAGCCCUGAGCAAAGAGCAUUUUGAAAGAAUCGCUUGGCACUGGGGUUGAUAAAACCCAUCUGAGAACUUGGUUCCUCGAUGAUUGGCUAUGAAAUAAAUGUACAGGUAAAAUAGCUAAAAAGUAUUUUCUAGCAAAGUCUAACUCAUCUCUAUACCACUAUAGGUAGACACACAUGACGAUUACAGAGAAAACAAAUAGCUAAUGUAUUGCACAUUAGUCAAACGAUGAGGCUUACAUUUGCAAAAUCUGUCAGGAAACCUGGUUCCUUUAACACAGGUUAGUAGUUCCUUUGUACUCUCAUGCACAAUUUUUAAACAGCUGAAAUGGUGCCACGUCAUUAAAUUAUCAAUUUCUGUCUUUCCUGCUUUUUGAACCCAAGCGCCUCACAUUUAUGCCCAUUCCUAACUGCUACCUCACCCCUAUUAAAUAACUCCUCUCACAGUCACUCUCAUAAUUGUUCCCAUCAAAAAAUCCAAAUUUCCUCUUUUCAUUCUUCUAACCAAACACUCUCUUCUUCCAACAUGUUUGAUAAUCAAGAAACCUAGAAUACUCCAAGCGUUGUCCCCGCUGUGUCUUCAUCUAUUGAAGCACCAAUGAUAGAUCCCACACUCCCCACUCCGAAAAGUCCAAACCCUAACCCAGAGUCAUAACCACCCUCUGCUUCCUCUCCAACCUAGUCGAGUACAGGUUCUCAUUGGAGUCGCAAAACUUCAACUCCCAAGAAAUUUUUGGUUGCGAUCUCUCCUUCUGCCUCACCAAAAAAAUGGUCGAAGAAAGUACAGUGGAGGAGGUAGAAAAUCAAAAAGUUUCUAGCCAACCAGUGGAGGAAAGAUUUGAGAAAGGAUAGGGUGGGUUCAUACCAGUGAUGAAUCAACAGUGACAGCCCCAGGCAUUGUUUUUACAGUUGCUGAGGGAACUCUAGUUGGAGGUUAUGAGGUUGUGUCUAAGUCUAUGAGGGGAAGAAAAUGGUUCAGAGGUCGAGGGUAAGAAACUGGUGCAUGUCGAAACUUUGGCACCUGACAAUACUACUGGGGAACCAAUUGAGGGACCUGAUCCCUCCACCCAAGAGGAGCCCUCUUCUUUCACUUGGGAUAAAAACUCGUGUUCUCCACAAGAACCCUAGGUCAGUACUGAUCCUGCUCCCUUUCUCAUUUCUAUGUUGAGCAAUUAACAUUGUGGUUCCUGAGAUGCGAUCUUUGUCUAAGGAGGAGAAUGAGGAUAGUGAAAAAGAAGAAGAUUAUAAUAAUGUGGCUCUGGUGAGCUUUAUUAGUGCUAGGAGUAGAAAGGAACCUCCCCAGGGGUUAACUUCUAAAAGACCCAUCACGAGGUUGCAAAAGAAGGAAGAAAUUGAGUCUGUCUUAAGGAAAAGUAAAAAGGAAAAGAAAAAGAGGAGAUUGGUGAAAGAUGGAAAGGUUGUCAAUGAGAAGGUAGUGGCUCCUGCACUAGUCGUGAAUGUGGAUGAUUGAGGUAGAACAGGAACCUGGUCCCUUGGUUCGUAAGUCCUCAAAGAAACUUAUUGUUCCAAAGUCCAAGAGGGAUUCUUCUGUGGGUGAAAAAGAGUUGAGGAAGGUUGAGGGUGAAAAUAUGGUGAUAAAGAGGAUGAAAAAAUGGUUGAGGAGUCCUGUGAAAAAGUGGUUGAGGAGUCUGCUAAGAAGAUCUCCAAGAAAUAUACAGAGAAAGGCAAGAGUGUAAUACAUUCAGUGAAAAGGAAGGACGAUGCCAGUGAGGAACAUGGUUCCUCCAAGAAGACCAAGGUUGGUGAUACCCAGGAUGCUGACAAGGAAUAUUGAAAAGCAAAAAGGUAUUGUGGGGUCGUACAUAAGGAAGAUGAAGGCAAGGAAUUCCAUUCUCGAAGGUCAGCUUAGUCAGGUUUAGGACGCACCUAGUUCCAGUAGCUCUCAAAAAAUAGAGGUUGCCCAUCUGACAAGAGAAAAUCCUAACCUUAGGAAACAGGUUGAGGACCUUAAGGAGAGACUGCUCAACGAGUAGGUGUCAGCCAAUGCUUGAAUGGACAUCCUUCUUCGAACCCUUGCCUCCACAUCUGUGCCUUUCCCUUCUAGUGCUCCCUAAACAGUGUCCCUUUCCCAAGUGUCAAGUUCUUAAGUGCAUGUCCUCUGUUUUAGUUCUGAUGAUGUUUAUGACUGGUACUUUUGUUUUCGCUAUUUUUAUUUUGUGAAUGUGUUUGAAAACAAUGGAACUACUCCCUGCUUAAAAUCCAUAUAAUAAUGAAAGCUUUCUCCUUUUAUUGUGUAUGCAUUGCUCUUAUGUUCUGUUUUUAGUCAUGGUUGUGUGCACACAUGUGGAAUGAGUUAACUAAGUUGGACUUCUUUUUGCUUAAUGCUUGUUGUUGAUCUUUUUAUGAUGCUAAAAGGAGGGAAAAUAAUUGAGGGGGAACAAGGUGGGGAAUAGAUUUAGGAGGAAUAAAGGAAAUGCGAAUACCAUUCUGGUUAUUAGGGGAAACUUGAAUUAUAAGUUUGUCAUAAUUAAAGUGGUGAAAUUGAUAGGUUAUAUGUGAUUGAUGAUCUAACAAACUUACUGUUAAGAACCAGAUAAGGAACAUGAUACACAUCCUCAAGAACUUAAGAUCAACAAGUCUGCAAUUGGGACACGGUUUAACACUUCAGAAUCAAAGGAACAAUAGAGGGAAUAGAUAGCUACCAGUUACCAUGGUGACUGUACAAGUCAAUUUUUCACAGCUGUAAAGUUGCUACCUAUACAUGCUACAGUGCAAAAAUAGUGUAGCAGUCAACUUUAUAGGGAAUGCCCUUUACCUAGUUUGCUUACAUUAUUUAAGUGAUGUCACAAAUGAAUUAUAAACAUCAAGCAAGGUAAAAAUAAAUCACUUGCACAUUCAAAGAAUUCAUCAAGCAUUCUCUCAAGUUUGUGUCAAUCUUGCAAGUAAUUCUUAAGGGCAUCAAGAACAAAUAAUAGCAUAACCAGGACCAGUUCCAUGUAUUGGAGUUAUUACAUGUCCUUAGUUGUAUUGUACCUUUGUUAAAACACUCUACUUGUAAUUCCUACAUAGCUUAGUUAAAAGCAUUGUGUAGGAAAUAUUUGUAAAUCAUAAACCCUUGUGUUUGUAUCUUGGUUAGAGUUAGUCGAGUUGAAAAGUCUUUGUAAUAGGUUUAUUACAAAGUGGCUUGUAAUAGAGAGUUACAAGUUACUGAGAGAUUAAGAGGUUAAUUCCUAGGUUUAAAGUCUUUGUAAUAGAGUUAUUACAAAGUGGCUUAUAAUAGAGUGUUAUAAGUUUGUAAGGGAUUAAGAGGUUAAUUCCUAGGUUACAAUAGGUUGUAAUCUAAAGUUGCUCGGUAGUGAAGUUGAAAUCCUACAAGGGUAGGUCGUGUUUUUUAUCCUGUGAGCUGGGAAUUUUUCACGUAAAACUCCAUUGUGCCAUUUACUUACUGUAGUGUGCGUGUGUUCUGUUAUACAUCCAUUAGCAAACAGAAACCAUUGCAUAAUUCCAUCAUAAACCUUUCACCCCCAAUGUUUCAAUCAUUGAGGGAAAGUAAUAUUCAAAACAAAAGGGUCCUCACGAUGAACAACAGUCGCCAUGCAUAUGAGAAAGCUGAAUUCGCCUCGGUAAUUUUUCCUGUUGAGAUUUCAUAUAAUAAAAUAAUUAAAAGUUUUUUCUAUCAAAAAACCUAACCUUUUAAAUAAGUCGAUAGUACAAAUGAAGAUUGUUUUAGAGUAUGUGGAAAUAAACAAAUGGACCUUGAGUCUAACUCAACCCCUUAAGCUAGCUCAAGAUGUGAGGAUUGAGCAAGACUAAAGGAUCUCAUCCCUACCGAUAUGGGAUAUCCAACACCCCCCCUCCGCACGCCCAAUUGGAGCGUAGAUAAUAUUAUAUGGGGUCUUGAUAUAUGGUAAAUCAAGUAUUGGGAUGAGACUUCUUUAAUACCAAGAUAACGAAAUGGACAUUCGUAGUAACUCAAAAUCAAAAGCUAUCUUAAGAUGUAAGAAUUGCUCAUGGCCAUAUAAGGAGACCAAAGGACCCCAUCCCAACCGAUGUGGAAUAUUAUCCAACAUAAAGAUUGAUAACUAGGGAUUAUGAUGCAUUUUACACUCCUUACAUGCGUUUUGAUUUAAAAUGUGUACAAAAUAGUCUCAAAGGCUUUCAUGUUAUACUUAUUUGCAGGGUUUGGUAAAAAAGGUGAAAAUUCAUCAAAACCAGCUCAAAAAAGAGUGAAACAUGCACAAGUACCAAGAACAAGUCCAAGCAUAGUGCAACAGGUCCAAUGCGACCGCACUCCAUUCUGUGCGUUCCGUAGUGAGGAAGUUCAGAGAGGUGCUCAUUUCGGGCACUCAAGCAAUAUGGCCGCAAAGCAUUUUGUGCAAACCGCAUUGGCUUUAUUGUGGCCGCACUCGAUAUUGUGCGGUCCGCAAAGCUGAAGUUCAGAGAGUUGCUAAUUUGGGGAAUCAUUGCCAAUGCGGUCCGUGAUCCUUUUUGUGCGGACCGCAAUAGAAGACACCAUGGCCACGGUGCAUUUUGUGCGGACCACGGUGGCCAAGUUCAGAGAGCAGAAGUUUUAAGCCAAGAGCCUCAGUGCGGCCGCACUCAAUUUUGUGCGGACCGUACUACCCCCGCCGGGGUAUUUUUGUCCAAAAAAUUUGGCCUAGUAUAAAUAGUUUCUUUUCCCAUUUUUAGGUUAUUAGUUGUAGUCUAACGCAGAGCUGCAUUCAUGAACAGUGUUCCUUAUCCAUUUUGAGUAAUUUUACAAUAGUUUUACCAUUGAAUCAUCAAAUUUUAGCUUGUAAUUAAAUAUUAUGGGUUUUUCUUCAUCUAUUUCUUUAUUUUCUUCUAUUAUCAUGAGUAGCUAGACCCAUUAGCUAGGGUUGUGGCUCAACCCUAGUGUGGGUAUUUGAUGGGUCUUCUGUUUUAGGGCUUGAAUAUCUAUGGGUGUUUGAUAUUUGGACUAAUUUAUGGUUUCAAUGUUGAAUUAGUGGUUGCUAAAACUAAUUUGUGCCUAUUUGACUUGGGCUUUUCUUGAGAAAGAGAGCCUAAGUCUAGGAAAAUUAGUCCAACAAGGAAUUGGGGCGGAUUCAAGAGAUUGAUAGUCCCAAUUAAAGGGUUAAACCUAGAAAUAGUAAUACCCGACUUGAACCUCAAUUGUUUGCACAAAUUAUCAUACCCAAUUGGUAUUGAUAAAGUCAAUUAGGGCAAAAUCACUCAAACUACCGAGAGGUAUAGAGUGAGUAGUAUCGUGCAAUGGUUAUAUCGUAAGCCCCAACAUGACAACCUAGUGUUAUACUCUAGAACCCGUCAAGUGUCCACCUAGGAGAAAGUCACUUCCCUAGUGCCUUUUAACUAUUUAGACAACCUUCAAGUAUCUUGAUCUUAGCUUAAUUUAGCAUCUUAUUAGUAUAAAUUUAGAAGUAAUAUCAAAACCAACUAUGAUUAGAAGUGCAAUUAAGAGCAAUUACGCAUCUCCAAUUUAGAUAGAAACUCAAAUCCCAUUUCUUGCUCCCUGUGGAAAUCGAUCCCAACCUUCUCGGGUAAAAUCUUCUUUGACCACUCUCACUACUUUGUAGUGGUGCAGGGUUGGGGUCGAUCACUUUUUGGUGACGUUGCCGGGGAGCUAACAGUUUUGGCUAUCUAUCUAAAUAGUUUUGUGUAUUGUUGUUCUUUCCUUCUGUGUUACUAAUUUGUGUGUGUCACAACUUCAGGUAUAAAAUUGCAGCAAACCACCCACCUCUUGGAGAUCUUCCGCUAGGGGAGGAGGUAGAUGACAAUAUUGAUGAUGAGGUUCCUAUUGUACCUCAAGAACAAAGGAGAGGCCGCCAGGACAAUGAUAAUAUUCCAUACCCUCCCCCGCCACCUCCAAGAGUGGCUCCUCGAGUGCUUCCCUACCAAGGAUAUGCGAGUGCAAUUGUCCCACCCCGGAUCCAAGCGGGCAAUUUUCAAAUUACUAAUGUGAUGCUGACAUUGCUAGAGAAGUGUGGGUAUUUCAUGGGUGCUGCCAAUCAAAAUGCUUACAAACAUCUCAAGGGUUUCGUGGAUACCUGUUGGGGGAGCAAGCAAACUAAUGUGUCUGAGGAUGUACUUCGGUUGAGACUCUUCUCUUUCUUACUUAGAGGGAAGGCAUUGGAUUGGCUUGAGCGACUUCCUAACCAUUCCAUCACUACUUGGGAUGAGUUGGUAGAUAAGUUCAUCGCAAAGUUUUUCUCACCAGGGCAUAUGGCAGCAUUGAGAGAUGAGAUCUUAGCUUUCAAGCAGGAGCCUAUCGAACCAUUACAUAAGAUUUGGGAGCGAUAUAGGACCAUGGUAAAGGAAUGUCCCAACAAUGAUAUGAUUGAGGCAAUGAUCCAACAGACCUUCUACGGGGCAUUAACACAACAAACCAGUACAUAGUGAACCAACUUGUUGGGGGUAACUUCUUGAGGUUGUCUUAUUAUGAGGCUUGUGACAUUCUUGACGAAAUGGCUGACACGUCCUCCGCUUGGAAAAGUAGAGCCAAUGUGCCACAGGGUGACCCUACGAUCACUCACUUGCACAAAGAGCUACAUGACCAUGGGCAGGCUAUAGCAAAGCUUACAACUACAAUGAACCAACUAGCAAAGGCACAGUUACAACAGGUUCAAAAUCUGCACCAAGUAAAUGCUAUGGAGGGUGUCAACAUGCUAGUGAACAAAAGAAGACAAAGAGGUCAACAGAACCAGGGGAGUUCAGAUCAAUUUGACAAUGAUUGUGGUGCAUUCCAAGAUGAUGGUUAUGAAAGGCAGAAUGAAGAGGUGCAAUACGUGAACAAUUAUCAAGGCCAAAGGGGAAAUUCUUCCAACCAAUAACAAUGGAGAUCCCAAGGCAAUUGGGGCAAUCAACAAUAACAAGGCAAGGGUAAUUGGGGGAACAACAACCAAAAUUCCAAUUGGGGCAAUCAGAAUAAUAAUCAGAGCAAUCAGGGUAAUUGGAAUGGCAACAACAACAACUGGGGUAGUAACAACAAUCAGGAAGGUUGGAACAAUGGCAAUUAAGGAAAUCGGGGGCAAGGCUUUCAAAGGCCCCCAAUGUACCAACAACCGAACAAUUCACCCCCAUUUCCAUCCCAAGGUCCUAGUUCUUCCAACAACGAAAUGGGGAGAAUUGAAAUGAUGUUUGAAGAGAUGAUGAAAAAGAAUGCGGACUUUGAUACUCAGUUGUCUUCCCACAAUACUUCAAUAAGAAACUUGGAGGUUCAAUUAGGCCAAACUCACAAUCCUUAAACACUCACCCUAAGGGAGCACUACCAAGUGAUACAGUAGUUAACCCGAAGGGUGAGAACAAUCAUGUGAUGGUGGUGACUACGGGAAGUGGAAGAGGCGGUGAUGUGAAUGCCUUCAAGCAAAAAUCAGUUUUGAGUGAUAUGAAAUUCCUUUGGUGGUUGAAAAUGUGGUUGAUAAGAACGUGAAUGAAGAAGUGAGGAUUGAUAUUCAGGAUGCCGAGGUAGAGACUCAGAAUGAUGUGAACCCAUCUAGGGAACAUGUAAUAGACACGCCGGAAAUGGUUGUGCCUAAAUCCAAGGCUCCUUUCCCAAGGUCACCUCCACCUUAUCCUUAAAGGCUCGCGAAGCAGAAAAAUGAGAACCAGUUUAAAAAAUUCAUUGAUAUGAUGAAGAGCUUAUCCAUUAAUGUGCCUUUGGUGGAGGCUCUUGAACAAAUGACGGUCUAUGCUAAAUUCAUGAAGGACUUGGUGACAAAGAAAAGAUCCAUGGAUUGUGAGACUAUCAAGAUGACCCACCAAGUUAGUGCAAUAGUGCAUUCAGUGGCCCCGAAGCUCGAAGAUCCCGGUGCUUUCACCAUUGGGAGUGCGGACUUUUCUGAAGCUCUAUGUGAUUUGGGGGCAAAUAUCAACUUGAUUCCCUAUUCAAUUUUCAAGACUUUAGGUAUUGGAAAACCGAGGACGACUUCCAUGAGAUUGCAAAUGGCGGAUUGAACUAUGAAGAGACCAUUGGGUAUUAUUGAUGAUGUCCUUGUUCGAGUGGACAAAUUCAUCUUGCCAGCUGAUUUGUGAUCUUGGAUUGUGAGGUAGAUUAUGAAGUUCCAAUCAUAUUGAGAAGACCUUUCCUUGCUACUGGGAAGGCCUUAGUUGAUGUGGAAGCGGGGGAACUCACCUUCUGGGUGGGUGAUGAGAAAGUGGUCUUUCAUGUGUGCAAGUCAAUGAAGCAGCCCAACAGUGAGGUAUGAUCUUUUGUGGACUUUGUCACGGUAGAGAUAGUUGAUGAUACCAGUGCAAUGAUCAAUGUGGAGGACCCUCUAGAGGUCGUAUUGUUGAAUCUUGAUGUCAAUGACGAUGAAGGCCGAGUGGAGUGUGUGAACGCAUUACAUUGAAUGGGCUCUUACUCUUAUGAGCCUAGGAAACUAUCUUUGGAUCUUAAAAAUAGGAAGACUCCACCAACAAAACCUUCAAUUGAGGAACCUCCGGUGUUGGAGUUGAAGUCGUUGCCUCUACACCUCAGGUAUGAGUUCGUAGGACCUAGUUCAACUUUGCCAGUUAUUCUUUCUUCUUGUCUUACUAACAUACAGGUUGAUGCCACAUUGGCGGUGCUUCAAAAGUAGAAAAAGGCAAUUGGAUGGACUUUAGCUGAUAUUUGGGGAAUAAGCCUUGCAUUCUAUAUACACAAGAUUAUUCUGGAAGAUGAUGCAAAACCCUCCUUGGAACAUCAAUGGAGGUUGAACGAGGCAAUGCAAGAAGUUAUGAAAAAGGAGGUGAUCAAGUGGUUGGAUGUCGGGGUUGUGUACCCCAUCUCUGAUAGCUCUUGGACAUCGCCGGUGCAAUGUGUACCGAAGAAGGGUGGCAUGAUCAUGGUUGCAAAUUCGCAAAAUGAGUUGAUUCCUACCAGAACCGUCACUGGUUUGAGGGUAUGCAUGGACUACCGCAAGUUGCAUAAAGUGACCCGUAGGGAUCACUUUCCAUUGCCUUUUCUUGAUCAGAUGUUAGAUCGACUUGCUGGGCAUGCCUUCUACUGUUUCUUAGAUGGGUAUUCUGGUUACAACCAAAUCUUGAUUGCUCCGGAAGAUUAGGAGAAGACCACAUUCACUUGUCCAUAUGGCACCUUUGCCUUUUCUCGGAUGCCUUUUGGGUUGUGUAAUGCACCGGCUACAUUUCAGCAAUGCAUGAUGGCCAUUUUAACUGAUAUGGUGGAAGAUAUCUUGGAGGUGUUCAUGGACAACUUUAGUGUUGUGGGUGAUUCAUUUGAGGAAUGCUUGAAAAAUCUUGAUAGAGUGUUGGCCCGUUGUGAAGAAAUCAAUCUUGUUCUUAAUUAGGAGAAAUGCCACUUCAUGGUGGAAGAGGGCAUAGUUCUUGGGCAUAAAUUUUUGAAACAUGGUAUAGAGGUGGACAAAGUAAAAAUUGAUGUGAUUUCAAGGAUCCCUCCCCUACCUCUGUCAAGGGAGUUUGAAGUUUUCUUGGGCAUGCGGGGUUCUACCGGAGAUUUAUCAAAGACUUUUCGAAGGUAGUGAAUCCAUUAUGCAAGUUAUUGGAAAAAGAUGCCACGUUCGCGUUCGAUGAGAGAUGUAUGCAAGCCUUUGAACUUCUCAAGAACAAGUUGAUCAUCACUCCUAUUAUUACCGCACCUAAUUGGAGCUUGCCUUUUGAGCUCAUGUGUAUGCGAGCGAUGUUGCGGUUGGGGCGGUUUUGGGUCAACGAGUGAACAAAAUAUUUCAUCUGGUGUACUAUGCGAGCAAGACAAUGAAUGAUGCUCAAGUGAACUACACGGUGACAGAGAAAGAGCUUUUGGAUAUUGUGUUCGCGAUGGAGAAAUUUCAGCCAUAUCUCAUGGGUUCCAAGGUCAUAGUCCAUAUCGAUCAUGCCGCACUCCAGUACUUGAUGACGAAGAAGGAUUCAAAAGCUAGACUGAUGCGAUGGGUCUUGUUACUUCAAGAGUUUGAUUUGGAGAUUGUGGACCGGAAGGGUAGUGAAAACCAAGUGGCAGACCACUUGUCCGCUUGGAGGAGGAGGGGAGGCCUCGUGAUGGCCUAUAGAUCAAUGAUUCAUUUCCCGAUAAAUAACUUCUUUCGGUGUCGGUGAAUGGUAUGCCAUAGUUUGCGGACGUUGCUAAUUUCCUAGUGACUGGUAUAAUCCUGUGUGAGCUCUCUUCUAACCAAAGGAAGAAGCUCAAAUGGGAUAGUUUGGAUUUAUAUUGGUAUGAGUCGUACUUGUUCAAGAUUUCCAUAGAUGGUGUGAUCCGAAGGUGUGUCCGGAGGAUGAGAAAUUGAGUAUCUUAGAGGCUUGUCAUUCCUCUCCCUAUGGUGACCAUCAUGGUGGGGGCAAGGACGGUUUCAAAAGUUCUUAGUUAUGGGUUUUAUUGGCCAACUUUGUACAAAUAUGCAAGUGAACUUGUGAAGCGGUGUGAAGAAUGUCAAAGAGCGGGUGGAAUUUUGAAGAAAGAUGAGAUGCCUCUCAAUACCAUCCUUGAGGUUGAUAUUUUUGAUGUAUGGGGCAUUGAUUUUAUGGGCCUGUUUGUUAGCUUGUGUGGAAACACAUACAUUCUUGUGGCGGUUGACUAUGUUUCAAAGUGGGUUNNNNNNNNNNNNNNNNNNNNNAGGGGGGUCUCAUUUUUGCAAUAGAGCUUUUGACACUUUGCUUGCAAAGUAUGGUGUCAAUCACAAAGUUUCUACUCCUUAUCAUUCUCAAGUGAGUGGCCAAGCUGAAGUCUCAAACAGGGAAAUCAAGAGUAUAUUGUCAAAGAUAGUCAAUGCAAAUAAGACCGAUUGGUCAAAGAAGUUGGAUGAUGCUCUUUGGGCUUAUAGGACUGCUUACAAGAAUCUGAUUGGUAUGUCUCCGUACGAUUGGUGUUUGGGAAAGCUUGAGUUAGAGCACAAGGCCAUGUGGGCUUUGAGGAAGCUGAAUCUUGAAUGGGAUGUGGCAACAGAUCUUCGUGUGGAUCAGCUUAAUGAACUUGAUGAAUUCCGAUUCCAUGCCUACUCCAGUUCAUCCUUGUACAAGGACAAGAUGAAGUGACUUCAUGAUAAAUAUGCUCGCGGUAAGGAGUUCAAAGUGGGUGAUUUGGUUCUCUUGUUUAAUUCUCGGUUACGUCUGUUUCCAGGAAAACUUAAGUCGAAAUGGAGCGGACCUUUUGAAGUGGUAUUUGUGACUCUGUUUGGUGCACUUGACUUGAAGAACAAAAAUGGGUAGGUUUUUAGAGUUAAUGGGCAUAGGGUCAAGCACUACCUGGGCAAGAUUGAUGAUAGCCACAUGGUGGCACUUCUUCAUCUAAAGUGAUUUGAUGGUAACAUGCGUUGUGCCGCGAUGUUAAAUCAGGCGCUUCUUGGGAGGCAACCCAUGUGUCUUUCUUUGAUUCUUUUUGUAGUGUAGGAUUUAUUUUUUGACUGACUGGUUGUGAGAUGCUGUAGGAUUGUUUUGAUGCAGUGCAGGACCAAGUUGAAAAAUGAUCAUUCUCUGAAGUUUUCAAUGCGGACCGCACUUUAUUUUUGGUGGCCGCAAAGGCCUUUGUGCGGGGGAAAAAAUUCAAUGCGGACCGCAGAGUGAUUUGUCUAAAGUGAGGAGUCUCUGAAGUUUUCCACCGCGGUCGGAUUGCAUUUUGUGCGGUCCAUAGUGGACCACUGCGGCCGCACUAGAUUUCUUGCGGUCCGCAGUGGCCAACCUCCCAGUGCUUCAUGUCUCUAAGCAUCGCAGACCGCGGUGCCAUUUUGUGUGGUCCGCAAUGGGUAGGUGAGAUGGGGCCCAGGUCUUUUUUCUAUAAAUAGGACUUAAGGCCCUCAUUUCAAACUUUUCGACCUUUUACUCUUAGAAGCUUGAAAAAUUACUUUUCAUCACUCAUAAUUGCGCGAAUGCAUCUGUUAAAUCUCGAUUAAUCAACAUUGUAUCUCACUUAUGGUAACUUUAAUUCUUUCUUAGUUGUUUAAUUUUGUUAUUUUCUUUGAACAUUUAUUUUCCUUUAGUUUUUCUUCCUUUUCUUCCCAUUUUUCUUUCAAUUUUGUAGCAUAGGUUAGUUUAAUCCUGUUUUAAUUAGGACUAAUUAGUUAAAACAGUGAUGCAACACUUAGGGAAUCAUUAAUAGGUGAAUAUUUGGACUAAAAAUGUGAAAAACAUGAACCCUAGGUUGGUAUAGCUGUUGGGCACUCACCGUGGACCGCGGUGGAUUUUGUGCGGUCUGCGGUGCCCCUGUGAGGUCCGCAAAGCUAUUUUGUAUGAACCGCGAUGGUAAAUGUUCUGAAUGCUGACAAGUGAGGACCGCGACCGCAAUGGAUUUUGUGCAGUCUGCGGCGCCUCAAUGCGGACCGCAAUGCAUUUUUUGCGGACCGCAAUGCAUUCAUGGUUAAUGACUCAAGACAUUAUGUGACACCACAACAUUUCCUAGGGGACGGUUGGGCUAUUUUUGCAAAGUGGCCUGAGGGGCCAAAAGUGACUAAAGAUGCAAACUCAAGAAAGGUGACCUCAAAGACAUGGGAAUACCUCACUAAAGCUUAUAUGGAUUCAAACUCCUAAUAAUCAUGGCCCAAAAUUAAUUUGCAAAUAUGACCUGUUUUGCAAAAUGGCCGAUAUGGCCAGAAGUGGCUAAAGAUGCAAACUUGAAAAGGACGGACCUUAAAACAAUAUGACUCCUAGUUGUGGACUCAUGAUCCUAAGACAUGGGUUAUUGAACCACUUUGGCGAAAAUGACCCCAAUUUGCAAGAAUGGCCGAUGUGGCCGAAAGUGGCUAGAAAUGCAAGAUAUGGCUAAGACCCCGCAAAACCAAGAACCUAAGACACUAGGAAGACCCGACCCUAUGUGGACUAACUAUGUAUCACGCCCUAAAAGACGAGAAUCAGGUUCGCGUAGUUCAGGAAAAUUGGACAUGGGAGAAAGCCUGAAAAAUGACACUAAUUUGGAAAAAAUAUUUUUUUUUGUCUUUUUGAAAAAUGAUGGAAAAUGUAAAAUCUUUUUGGAUUUUCUUUUUCUCUUUUUUUUUGAAUUUUUGGAAAAUGAUGGGAAAGCGUAAAAUCUUUUUGGAUUUUUCAUUUUCAUAUUUCAUUUUUUUUGAAUUUUUGGAAAAUCGGGAAAGUGUAAAAUCUUUUUGGAUUUUUCAUUUUCAUUUUUUUGGGUCUUUUCUUGAAAAGGUUGUGAAUGAAAAACAUAACUGGUCCCUACUUGCUUUAUUUUUAUACUUCACCCUCUUUUCUUUCUCAUUUACCCUCAAACCGUCAUUGGUCCGCCAAAUAACCUUUUUACCUUUAAAGAAUGCAGCAUGUAUCACAUAGGGAUGAUUUAAUGUCUUCUUGGGCCGCAGGCCUAUUUUCGACGAAAUUUGGAUAGGCUUCCUACAAAGAGACAUGGUGCCUGGGACCGAGCCCUACUAGGUCCAAAUGACAUGAUGCAAAUAAGAAUGACUUAAAGGCUGACCAACGGUUAGGGUUCACUAGACAAGGCAAUUCGGGGCGGCACGUGGUCGAUGGCGGCUGCUCUAGCUGUCCGCCCACUCCACGUUCUCAUGCCACCCCCCUAAAGACACGGGUGACUCACAAAAAGGCCGUGUACGCUGAAACGUACUCCGGAAGACUUGUUGCAGAAAAAAGACCCGGGGUUAUGCAAAUGAUAACAAUUUAUAAAGCAGUAACACAUAAAGAAAAAUUGUAAACAUAUAAGCAACUAGCAAAUAAUAAAACGAUAUAAACAAAAAUAAAAAUCAAAUAAAGCAAACAAAACACAUAAAAACCUCAAUCGAACAUCCUAAAAAGCCAAUAAGAUCAAGUACUAGCUCGAACCUGUAACUCCCCAGCAGAGUCGCCAAAGAUGUCACACCCCUUUUUUUUACAAACUUUCACUAAACCCUCUUAAAUAAAUAAAAAGGGAUUUAGUAAAAAAGCUUGAAAAAGGCUUUCAAUUUGAAAAGUGACAAAAUUGUGUGUUCAAAAGAAUUAACUCAGAGUCGCCACCUGACAUUUGAUUUCGGUGUGUCAGGUAACCGUUAUUUUUUCUAAAAAUAAUAAUUUUCCUUUCAAAAUACUUUGAACUCUAAAACUAAGUCUACACCAGAGAUUUGCACAAGGGGGUUCAUUUGACUCGGGGAGAAAGUGUUAGGCACUCCCCAAGUCCCGUAACUAGUACGGUUGCGCACUUGAUCUAAUCGGCUUUUAGAAUAUUCGAAUUGAGCUAAAAAACAUAGAAAAAGGAAAUUAAACACACAAGAGGCUCGAGGUCGUCCCUACCUAAAUAAAAGAAAAAUGAAAAAUGAAAAUAAAAUAAAAAUACUACAAGUUUUUACUUUUAGCCUCCAUUUACAAAUACUUCGAGGCAUACCCCUGAAAUAAAAUAUAUACAAAUCCUUCGGGGCAUUCCCCGGAUAAAUUUAACUAAGGGGACGACCUCUCGCUUCAAAAGCUAACAAACAAUUCUAAGACUUGCCUACCCGAGUGAUGACGGCCUAGAAUGCUCCUAGCGGUUAAGUAAGAAAGAGUACAAAUAUAAAAAUAAACUAAAGUAAAUAGGAUCCUUUUCAUGUUCAUUCUCCUUUUAACCUUUAAUUUUAAUGUAUUUAGACCGAGCCCAUCCUAAAGCAUGUAAUUUAAUUAAAUAUUAGCGGGCUCGAUCUUUUUCCGAAACCACCCACGGCACAACAAUUAUGCAAAAUAAUUCAUGUAUUCAACAUAGGAAACACAUAAAAGAAAGAAAGAGAUCACAAUUAACAAAGCAGAAGAAAAUAAAAGGGCAAAAAUAUUAAAGUGGAUCAAAAUAUGAUGAAAGCCAUUUAGAGUUUAGCUAAGCCCCCCCCCCCCCCCCCCCAUUCUAACGUGUCCUUCAUUUUCAGAUUUUAACUACCCAGAAAUCUCACUUGUAUGCACCUUAUGCGAGAAUCACUACCACAGAUAUCUUUCCUUGUUCCAUUUUAUCCACAAAAUUAAUCCUAUCGCACUUUGCUCACAUAAUUCAUUCAAAGACAUGUAUCCUCAUGUUAGACUUACAGAGGCAUGCAAUCACAGUUUAACAAAAUGGAUCAAUGUAUUAAAACAUGUAGUCAACCCGCGACAUGGUCAUAAGACAAAUGAAUUGAACCAUACUCUAGCAAACCUUUUAAACACUAAUUGGGUUUUCCACUCUUACAGAACCAAAAUUCUAAUAGUGACAACUUAGCACAUUUGAAACACAUCUGUAGUAGACUCGAAACAAUCAAUUUUCAUGUUUAGAUUCCACUUAGCACGAAGAGUAAAGAAAAUCAAAGAAAAAUAAAAUUGCAUCCAAUGUAACCAUUUCCAUGUCUGAAUGACACCCUGUAUGGGAGUAGAUAACAGAGCAUAAUCAAAUUCGGACAGAAAAUUCAAGCAGACAAUUCCUAGGAUUCAUUCUGAAUUAACAUAGACGAAAUGGAACAACCAGUUUAACUUAUUUCCUGUGAUCAUUCAAAUUGCUUAAACAUGAACAUCAACUUAGCAUUGAAACAUAAUCACCAUUUGAUUACCCUAAGAGAUCUAGCAAAUUGUUUGUAAUUGUUUGUAACAAGUUGAAGACAUGUUUUAGAACCUUAAUUAACUUAACUGGGCAAUCAUCAAACAAGGAAAGUCAUGGAGGAAUUCAGUAACUUAAGGCCAACAAAUAUACACCUACAAUAACCACAAGCAAAUCAGCCACUUAUUCAUGUUUCGCUUAACAGACAUACGAUUAACCAAUUCAAGUCGAACACACAAAAAACUAGGCAUUCAGAUCUGAAAUAACUCCCUAGAACACUGAAACGAUUUCAUGAAUAGAUAAGAAACAUACUCGAGUCAAUUCUUAACAUCUAAGUUUCAAAUUGCCCCAAACCAGUUAAAUUUUGGCUCUCGUCAUAUUAAGAUCGACAACACAGAAAUAUAGUAGGAGGGAAAGAUAAACCUGAUAUGUGAAAAGUUUGAUUAAUUCUAGAAGUUGAAUACAAGCAAGUGUGGCAGCAAAAUCAAACGAAACAACAACUAGAACUCGAACAUAAACUGGACUGAAUUAGCUCGGCGUGAACGGAACCGCAAAUGAACCUCGAUUUGCAAACAAUGAACAACUCGAACGACCUUGACUCCACAGCAAACCUCAAUCAAACUCCAUAGUUGAAGACCAAGUCAAGAAUCCAGUAUUCGUUUUUUUCUGUUUUGGAAAUCAAAAGAACAAACUAAAAAAAACUCUAACGUUCUCUAUAUAAACUGAAAUUAGAAGACUAAGAUUGCCAAAUCAGAACUAAAAACCUAUCUUGAAGCCUCUCCAAUUUUCUCUCUAUUUUCUUUCGAUUUUCUUUUUCUCUCAAAAUCUGAAAAUGAACCCCUUAUAUCUCGAACUUGGAAACCUCCAGCCUUUCUCUUCGAGGAAUUGAAAAAUCUCUCAACCAAGUAAGCGCGUGGUUGAAUGGAAGGCUUGGAUCGAUUUAGAUCAAUCCCACGCUUCCCAUUCGUCCAACACAUACUAGAAGAGAUUCUCAGUCGCGCGUGCAAAAACGAGUGAGAAGAAAGAAAUUAGUUCGAGAAUAUUCUUCACGUGGUUUGGAUGAAGUGGAGAAGAGAGAGAGAGGAUGGGGGGGACCAUGGGGACCAACGAGUGAAGUUUUGGGUGGUCUUACCAUGGCUGAAGCACGGCUAGGAUGGGGUGAAGAGGGGGCGCCAUUUGGGUGGUGUUACAUU
rnacentral:lncRNA from 1 species